rnacentral:lncRNA from 1 species
UGUGAUGUUGUGCUCCACACUGAUGCCAUUCACAGAGGCGGUGGGCAGGUUAUCCCUACGGCCAGGAGGGUCAUUUAUGCUUCUCAGCUCACUGCUAAGCCAAGGCUGCUGGAGCCUGUCUACCUGGUGGAGAUCCAGGCCCCGGAGAACGCACUUGGUGGUAUUUAUGGUGUUCUGAAUCAGAAGAGAGGGCAUGUGUUCGAGGAGAUGCAGAGGCCUGGUACCCCACUUUACAACAUCAAGGCUUACCUCCCUGUUAUCGAGUCCUUUGGGUUUUCAAGCACACUAAGGGCUGCAACAUCCGGUCAGGCAUUCCCUCAGUGUGUGUUUGACCACUGGGAUAUCAUGUCUUCCGAUCCCUUGGAGGCCGGCACCCAGUCUGCCACCCUUGUCACGGAGAUCCGCAAGAGGAAGGGGCUCAAGGAACAAAUGACUCCUCUAUCUGAAUUUGAGGACAAGCUCUAAGAAUUUUGGUGCUGUUUUAUCCUGCUAUUAAGAGAAUUUGUAUCUUUUGGUACUCUUAUUUCCUUGAGUUGUCUAAUGCCUGUCAAACGAUCAUAUUACUGUCUGGCAUGUUGUACCACCGUAUGGUUAAGUCGUAGUGUUUUCUGAUUAUGCCUUCAUUUUCUCGUGGGUCUUCAGAGUUUCAGUUCACUGUUUGUGCUUCUACUGCAUGUUGGCCGUUUUGCUCUUUAGCUACGGAGUAUAUUUCUGUUUCUGCCCUCUAUUUGGUGCUUUGCCAAGAAGAGAUGUGUAUGUUUUGUUUCUUUGUUCACUUGCUUGGGGUGUGAACAUGUUUUAGAGGCCGGUGCUGAGUUGCUUAAUAACCUGCACGCAUUACUGCGGUUUCUUUUUCCUUUUCAUUGCGUGCCGUUAUCUCUUACUCCCCCCGAUCCGUAUAUCAAAUUUGUAUCUAUCUAUGUUUAAAAAACGUCUGGAUACAUGUAAUAUUUCAACUAGUAGUUCCGGUUAGUUCCGGUCGGAGUGAGUAACAUAUUUUAAGAAUGGCAUUGCGUCCCGUUGCAAUUCUUUAUUGCUUGUGAAAAAAAAAAUUCUAGCCGAAUGUUGCAAUAGCAUGCUGGCAUUGCAUUAAGUUGUCAAAUCUUUUUAUUUUUACCAUGCAGAAAAUUAAAAACCCAAAAAUGAGCAGGUGCGCCGUUCUCACAAGUUGUCUAACAAAUCUUGACCUAAUAAAUCUAUUUAACCUAAUGUCAUAGAGUUUUCUAUCUCAGAUAUAUAGGUGCAGGUGGAGCACAUUCGAAUUACAUUUGAUAUGGGUUUCGAGAGGGAUCGCACCUCUUGACCGGCGGAUCUAACUGAGGCUCAUUCCUGCUGGGCCGAACAUCAGUAGAAGCUGGUGGACUGGAAGACGAGUAAACGGUUGCAUAGCUUGCCGUAAGGGCUGCUGUCGGGUUCAUUUCCAAAAGAGGCUUCCGAUGUCAAGCACACAUUCUUUCGACUAAUUCCUAUCGGCUGUAUGGAUAAAAGAUCAUCAAAGGAUAGCCUUCAUCCUGAUUGAAGGGCUCGGUUUCUGAUCACUUGGGAGUGGCUUAUUUAUCUCGAUAUUGCUUAUCUUGUUUUCAAUGUAGACAUUGAAUGUCCUACCCGGCCGCAGCUCUCUCCCGACAACCUCGCUGUCCCUUCUCUUCUCUCUUCUCUCUCUCUCUCUCUCUCUCGUCUGUUUGUGCUGCAGACCCGGCGGCCGGCGGCCCCUUCCCGCCUCCUCCCAGCAGGUAGCGGCGCCUCCCUUCCCGUCCUCCGGCCGACGCACGUGUAAGAGGCUGCAACGCCUCCACUGCCCUCCUCCAGUCCAGACGACGUAGGUGCAGAGGUAUCGAAUCCUCCGAUCCACUCCCUCCUCAGACCGGCGCAGGUACAGGACGAUGCGUCCCCUCCCCGCUUCCUCACCUCUUCACCCGACCUCUCUAUCUCUCUCUCUGCAGCGCGCGUGUGCGAGAUUAGGAAAACGACAGGCGACCUGCACCCUGAUCUACAAGUUGGGAAGCAGUGGAUCUGAAGUUGCAUUCCGUAUGAGACUAUGUAAUAAUGUGUACAUAACAGUAUAAAAGCUGUAUAGAAUAGCACUAGUUGGUUAUGCGCUUGGCCGCGCUGGUGAAUUUUUUUUAAUCCAAAGAAUGACAGAGCUCAAAACUUUUAGCCCACGGAACGGGCGGAGUUACGGAAAGAAUGAAACUUUGUUUCCACCUUCGCCCGGAAAGAAGACGCCGGGGCAUUUCGUCUGGGCAGACGCAUCCCACCGCGACAAACAUGCUGAUAGGACGCUAGAUUCCGUGUACCCGGGUUCCCGUGCGAUGCACAAAGGCACGCUAGAGCAAAGGAGCAGCACAGGUCGUCGGCGGGGUCCUAUUUGUGUCGUGCCCCACGGACCGGAGAGCGUGGAGAGCAACGACUGUCGUCCAAGCAGCUGCCGCCCAUCUAGCGUGCGUUCCCCGCCUAGGAGGACCACCCAUGACACUACGUGACAUCCGCAAAGUGACACGCAUACGAAAGUACAUCCCCAGAGCAGUCUAUAUAAAAAGGUCGAACAACUAGCAUACGUGCAUUACCAUUCUACCAGCCGUCGUGCCAACAGCCGCCCUCACCAUCGCACACCAGCUGGGAAAAUCGACAGUAACAUCAUGGACUUUGCGGCGCCGGGUAAGUGUCAACCUCACCGUCUUUUAACUGCACCCACUUGCCGGACCAACAUUUUCCACCCACUUCACCGUCAGCCGAAAAGCUGACACAGCCUAUUUGCCUGCAGUCUCGGUGAUUGUGUGCGUGCCGCGACAGAUUGUCUUGACGGAAGCAACGAAUCAGCAAGGCAUGGCCGCCGCCGCAUACCAGACAGUGGAAGCCAGGGGCGGCUACACCUCCACGGUCCGGAUGGAGCUGCCGACAAGGUGCCAUCUAGAAUGCACUGAGAGCAUCACCGCAAAUGGACGAAUGUCUGCCACCACCAUUGCAGCAGAGGAAGACGCCGCUAACUCCAUGAUCUACGUGCUAAGGAAGAAUCUAAAGAUCCAGUUCAACGACGCGAAUCUACAUCGUUUCAUCCACUGCCAUCGCAAACAUAGGAUGGUUCGAGCAACCCUGGGGACCAUGAUCGAGAAGCACAUCGAUGCGGCAAAGAAGGCCAGGUUGAUGGAGGAAGGCUGGCGAGAGGCUCUUGCGGACCUGAAGGGCGUGCAUGACGCUUGCACAGGGCUACCCUCGCACGACGGAAACCCGCUCGAUACCCCCGAGAUCCAUAAGGAUCACGUGGAUGUCGCGUGCGUUCCCUGAGCACACGAGCGCUUCGACUAAGACACCGCAAAGCUCUCCGCGGCGCGUCCAGAUGGUAGCCCCUAAGUUGUGCCCGGUUUUGCACCAACAAGGUUACCCGGCUGCAUCUCUGCUGUGUUUCCUAAAAAAAACAAGGUUACCAGGGCACCGUAGGCCUGGAUGUCUUUUUGUUGUUGCUGUCACCCGAAAGAUCGCGCUGUUUGAUGUGUCUUGAGCCAAGUGUAUGUCACAUGCAUGUAUCUAAGCAUCAAUCUGAGCAAAUAUGACCAGCAAGUCCUCGCGCUUUUGCGUGCUUCCUCGGUAUGUCAUAACGAAAAAGCCGACAACCCGUUGCCUCGGUAAAAUGUAAUAAACCAAAGGGUCUAUCGCGUUGAUACAGACGGGUCGCGACCGUUGUCCAACGCUCCAACACAUAACGCAUUUUACCGACACCUACCGCAAUGUACCUGCUUCGGCAGUAAAUGCGUACAUCGAAGCAGAUGAUUUUUUUGUUAUCUAUCCUCGUUUGGACAACCCACCCACGCAGGAACACACACCCACCGUUCCAAGCGCAAGAAAUGCGCAGAUGCCGUUUUUCAGUGUUUUUUCCGGGCAUUUCUCCCAACCCGUGCAAGCGUUGAUUGUAUUGCCUGUACUGAGUAUCCGAAUAAAGGACAUGCCGCUCCAUUUACGUUUUUUUGCCAAGCCAUGCGAAAUACCAGAAUAUCUGAUUAUCCCGUUUAACGCGCGAUUGAGAUCUAGCGUGCGAGGGCCCAACUUGGCUGCGUGCGCAGGCAAGCUUUCUCUACGGGUAGUUUCUACAGACCAUGCCCCGCGUGUGUUUGGUCCCGGCACCAAACAACAUGUUCGGGACAACGGCCAUGCCUGCCUCCGUGGUCACGAUAAUUUUGCCCCAACGGGUGGGGCGCGACCACAAUGACGACAGUGAGGCCGCGAAAAAUAAAAUCGAUAGCACGCAACACGACCUCCGCAGAGCGCGUGGCUGGCCUGUACGACGCUGUCCAGCCACCAUUCGGUCAAUCGUCAUCAUUCCUGCACAGCGCGAAACAACUCGAGACUCCUAGCGAAAGAACCUGCCAAUUGUGCGGUGCACGAGGAAAAGGGUCUACCUGAGCAGCCAAAUGGCGCUCCGUGUCCCUUUUAACCCCGAGAAGCCUCACCAGAGCUCACGCCACCGUUCCUUUUGGUUUGAGGGAGGGCGCGCGCCGGUACACACAGAACGUGUGGCUGCCUUCCCGCCACCAAGCGUUCUUUGUCUGCGACGUAUUGGUAGGAGGGCCACGGACCUGGCGCAUACGUGCCUGACUCUUGCCAUCACCAUGUUAAAGUUGUUCUGUAGAAUACUCAGCCGAUUGAUCUCCUUGGCAAAAAUCGACUGGUGCAUCUCCUCAAAAGCCUCUAGCGCCGCCAUUCUCCUUACACAUUUUUGGAGGUCGCCGUAGUUCACAUCAUCAACAUACACAUCCUUUGCGUUGCGUAAGUAACAUAUCGCGUCCUCCGCCGCACUGUCGACAACGCUGAAUUUUUCCGGCAGCAUGUCGCCGAAGAAAGAUCUUGCAAGCAGAGAAUAGGGCGGCACAUUCAUUUCUAUACACCCUCUGUACCACCCGCCUGGCUCCUCUACGGUGGACAUCGACGAAACAGACAGACGCAAUGAACUACAAACGUGAUGUAAGAUCAUCUGCUUGGGGAGAUAAACCGUUUGCUUCGCCUGAAAAACAGAACCCACGGAAACAUCACAUAUACAUCACAACAUGUAAUGCACGGUGAGGUCAAGGGAGAGAGAUACACACGCCAGACAUGAGGCCAUCCGAAUUCUCCUCGGGAUCCACCCUUCGAUGCCUCGGAAAACCACCCUGGGCAGUAGCGCCCCGCGAGACGGGCCUCCCACUGCCCAUUACCGAGGCCGCGUGAAGGCAUUUAACACACGACUACACAACCGCGUCGAUCCACGCAACCGCAGCACGCCAAUCAUAUGCGUGGAAUCACGCAAUAACACAGGCCUCCUCAUAUGCCACCACUUAUAUCCGUACCGCGGACGGCUCCCUAGCUUGCAAGAUCCCCUACAAACGCUAACGCACCUGCCCGGAAAACACCAACCACCCCCACCGCUCGGCGAACUCCGGCAGCCAUCAACAUAACUCGCAAGCUCGUGAUCACAUCGGCACCGCUCAACGACGCCCAACGCGCGGAGUUACGAAGCCAAGCAGAAGAAGCACUCGCGCCGCCGCAACAGCUCUGCACCAACGCAUCCGACGCGCCUUCCACGGCGACCGGCACCCAGGUCCGCCACCACAUAAGCGACAACGCGUCACGACGAACGACGGUGGAGGUACCUCAGCGGACGCCUCCAAACCAGCGUCGGGCGAAGAAGUGAUGGAAGUCACGCAAGCACACAACGCGCAGCCCCCGGAGCAAGACCGUGCUCUCCAGCGAGUUCUCAGGCUGUCAGCUGACAUGCUCGAUUGAAAGAUCCGCAUGGUCGACUAGAGUGGGCAGGAUGAAUAGUUGACUAACAAAUUUUAUUUUUUAUUUUUCUUUCUUGAAAGAUAAAAACACUUAAAUUCUCUAAAGUGAAUGCAACCUUAAUAUCAAGUGCAAUAGCCAAAGCAACAAUAUCACAAUUAAAACUGCAAGAUUGUAAAGGCCCUAGGCCCCUAGCAGCGGAGGUGGCACCCAUGCAUGCCACCAGCUCACCAGGAAGAGUUGCGUGCCUCCCCGUUGGACACUUGUAGCCCAUGUACCGUGGCACGUGUGGCAUCCCCUUGUGUAUAAAAGGAGGACCCAUGCCAACGGUCAAAGGUUUUUUUUUAGAGGGCUGACGGGUCAGACAGUUGGAGAGGUUAGUCAGUUGGUCAGUUAGUUGGUUCGGACGAAACUCGCUCGAUAGAUGCUUACUAGCUCCAGUAGGCAGCUAACAGAGAGUGGUGAGGAGCGCCUAGCCACUGAGAGAAAGCCCGAGAACUUGCCCGGCAACCUGUAAACAUUUGAUCCGUAAUCAAUAUCAGCUCAGACAGGCAGGACGUAGGGUUUUACACCUCCGAGUGGCCCGAACCUGGGUAAAAAACGUGCGUGCGUCUGUUCUUGGACCAGCGCGUACCCCUAGCACACGGGGCCUCAUCGGCCGUGCCGGCGAUCAUCUGGUCUCCACCCCAGACGCUCUACCGAACCUAAAAGGGGACGUGGCCGCACGCCCCUGGUGUCGGAGCACCAAGCGACGACAUCUGGCGCGCCAGGUAGGGGGCGCGGGAGUGGACAGCGCCGAAGAUCGCCGGCAGCGAAAGUUCCCAUCGGCAUCGGCCUCACUCUUCUUCGUCGACGAGCCUUGUCACCAUGCCCCCCAAGCGGGCUGGUGAUUCACGCAUAGACCCGCGUGAGGCCCCAAUGGCGCAUACGCGGUCGCACGACGUGCGACCCGAGUCGGGAGCUCAAGAGAAUCCUGAGCCCUCGAGGGUGCAGCAAACGCAGCUGCCUCCACCGCCUCCCUGACCGUCGACCGACAAUCGGCCGAGGGGACAGGCUGCCCCCGCGCCGGGGGCAGUCGGGCGAGCAUGCAUGGCGUCGCCCGGGCCAGCCAACGGGUGGAGUCGUGACCCGAGGAUGCCCCGCGGCAGCGGCACCCGGAGCACGCCGCGUCACGGGCGACCCCUGGAGGUUCGCACCCUGCGCACCCCGAGGCGUCCGUGGCCAGGGCGGGAAGCAGCCGUUCAGGAAAUCGGUUGCCCCCUUUGCGAACCCCGGCUGAAGCCAUCGUCGCCGCGCGCGGCAUGGUGCGGUACGAGCCGCAGCAGGGCACGCCGGCGCACGAGACGUGGGGCGAGGAGUUGGAAGCGCUUCUCGCCCUGGCCGCCCAACAGCCGUAAGGCGAGGGCGCCCCGGUAGGCUCUGGCCACAGGCCGAACUCAGAGCGCGAAGGCGCGCCGCCCGCCUCGCGACAGGGGGAGAACCCUCCCCCUCCUCAGCGGGGCCUGAUAGACGGGGGCCCGGAGGGGUCCUCAAAUUCGUCGCCCACCGUCCCAGGGGGCGAUGCGCGUGGCAUCUUGAAUGCCCGACAACAGGAGGAUCUGCGCCGGCGCCUGGAGCGCCGGCGCAGGCGCGAGGUGGAGCGCCGAGGACAAGAAGACGCUCCCCUGGGCCCAGAAGACGGUUGCACCGCGUUUGCGCGCGAGUUGCGGCGGGUGGUGUGGCCCCAUAAGUUCCAAGCGCCUGCGCUCGGUAUGUACGAUGGGACCGCUAACCCAAAGAUUUUCUCCUGACCUAUACGCUGGGCAUGCAUGCCAUCGGCGCCGACGACAAGGUCAGGGCGAACUGGUUCCCGAUGGUUCUGAAGGGAUCAGCGCGAACCUGGUUGCUUAACCUGCCCACCGGAUCUGUCGCCACCUGGGCAGACCUGCGCGAGCAGUUCGUGAGCGUGUUCCAGGGCGGCUAUAAGCGCCCGAGAACCAUGGCGGAGCUGCACACCAUCGUGCAAAAACCGGGAGAGACGUUGCGGGCCUUCGUCAACCGCUUCUCCAAUCUCUCCUAUUCUAUCCCGGAGGCGGAGGUGGCCAUCAUCAUCAACACCUUCGCCAUCAACGUCCGCGAUCCCAAGAGGCGUGAGAAGCUGAGCACGCAUCGGAUCCGGACGACGCAGGACUUGUACGCCUUGGCACACUAGUGCGCCAUGGCCGAGGAGGGGCGCCUAGCGCCCGAGCUGGCAGCCCAGGCUGCCGCGAGCCCUGGCGAGGGCUCGCAGAAGAAGGGUUCCCGUAAGCGCAGCGGGAAGCAAGUCCUCGCUGCGGACUCGGGGGUCCUGCUGCGAGGCCCACGAAGAAGGCCUCGCCGGGGGGAGAGUCUGGCGGAAGCAGGGCGAUGUGGCCCGCUACCCUAUCCACAACAACUCCACCCACAAUGCAAGCAACGGAGGGAGCAGCGCCACGAGGAGCGCCGCGCCGCCGGCGCUUGCUUCAAUUGUGGCGACAUCGGACAUCUCUCCCGAGAUUGCCCGAACGACCCCAGAGCGGGUCCGAGGCCAGCCGGCGGUGGUGCUGGCAGGGUUGAACCCCAAGGAGGCGCAGCCAGCCCCUCGCUGUGCGGGAACGCCCUCCUCAGGGGUGUGACAGGGCGCGCGCCGAGGAGCGGCGCGAGUCCGACUAUUCCGGCGGCGACGAGCCAGGCUUCCAGGAGCCUCGUGGCGUCGCCUGCAUCCAUGGGGGAGUUUACGCUCUCCCAUCCCACGCCGCGGUGAAGCGCCUCACCCGUGACGUGUGCACGCUGUUGCCGGAUGCGGGGCCGCAACAGCCGCUGAGGUGGUCGCACGUGCCGAUCACCUUCAACGCCGACGACCACCCGGUGCGACAAUUGGGUUCCGAGGUAAUAUCCUUCGUUGUCUCGCCGAUCAUUAGCAAUAUGACGGUGACAAAGGUGCUGGUGGACAACGGAGUGGGGCUUAACCCCCUGUCUGCCAGGCUGGUGGAAAAGCUCCAGCUGCCGAUGGAGCAGCUGAAGCCCACCGAACCGUUCCGGGGGGUGAACCCCGGGAUCAUGCACCCGCUGGGACGCAUCAUGCUGCCGGUCACCUUCGGGUCCCGAGAAGCAUUCAGGACCGAGCACAUAGUGUUCGACGUGGCGCAUACCCCGUUGCCCUACAACGGGAUCCUUGGUCAGCCGGCGCUGAUCAAGUUUAUGGCGGCUACGCAUCGCGCCUACGGCGUGAUGAAGAUGCCGUCCGUCUACGGAGUCCUCUCCAUCGGGUGCGAUCUCAAAGACGCUGCUUGGUGCGUUGACGAGGUCGUCCGGGCCGCUGCUGCAGCUGACGCCGACGACGAAGGUGUUCUCGAGGACGACGCCUUGCCGGGUGAUGCCCCGGCAACGAAGAAGGCCCGCGCCACCCCGCAAGGCGCAGGCUCGGGUUCGCGUCCCGGCAAGGGGCGAGGGCUCCGGGAGGAGGCCGCCAAAGUGAAGAAGCUGCCCCUCCAAGCCAGCGACAAGGAGCGCACCGUUACCGUCGGUGCGAACCUGACCGCCGAAUAGGAAAGCGCCCUCGUCACCUUCCUCCGGGAAAAUGCCGACGUGUUCGCCUGGGAACCGUCGGACCUUCCCGGAGUCCCCAGGGAGGUGAUUGAGCAUCGGCUCGCGGUGCGCCCGGACGCGCACCCCGUCAAGCAGAAGAUCCGGCGGCAGGCACAAGAGCGGAAAGAUUUCAUCAAGCAAGAGGUGGGCAAGCUCAGGGCUGCCGGGGCGAUCAGGGAAGUUUUGUACCCCACUUGGCUGGCUAACCCUGUAGUAGUGCCCAAAGCAGGGAAUAAGCUUCGCAUGUGCAUAGAUUUUACCGAUCUUAAUCGUGCAUGCCCCAAGGAUCUCUUCCCUGUACCCCGGAUCGACCAGAUAGUUGAUUCUACCGCUGGUUGUGACCUGCUGAGUUUUCUGGAUGCUUUCUCCGGCUACCAUCAAAUCAAGAUGGCGGUCGAGGAUGAGGAAAAGACAGCGUUUAUCAUCCCGGUUGGCUGCUACUGCUAUACAUGCAUGCCUUUCGGGUUGAAGAACGGGGGCUUCACAUUCCAGCGCGCCCUGCGAGAAUGUUUGGAGCCCCAGCUAGGCCGCAACGCGGAGGCCUACAUGGAUGACAUCGUCAUCAAAUCGAAGCGUAGGGACUCGCUGAUUGAUGACCUGUGGGAGACAUUUGACAACCUCCGCAAGAUCAAGCUCAGGCUGAACCCUGAUAAGUGCACCUUCGGUGUCAACUCCGGGCAGCUUCUAGGUUUCUUGGUUUCACACCGGGGGAUACAGGCCAAGCCGACCAAAAUAGAAGCCAUCGAGAAGAUGGAGCCCCCCCGCAAGGUGAAAGAUGUCCAGCGACUCAACGGUUGCGUUGCCGCGCUUGGACGCUUCAUCUCCAGGUUGGGCGAGCGUGCCCUGCCUUUCUUCCGGGUAAUGAAGAAGAAGGGUCCAGUCGACUGGACUGCCGAGGCCGAGGCGGCGCUCCAGGAACUCAAGCGAUACUUGAGGUCACCGCCCAUCCUCGUCGCCCCCAAGUUGGGCGAGCCGUUGCUACUCUACUUAGCAGCGACUGACCAGGUGGUCAGCUCGGUGCUGGUUGCCGAGAGGGAGGAAGACGUCCCGGGGAUUGGGGCUGCGGGGUAGGGGGCUGAGCAGCCUCCGGCAACCACCUCAAACCCAGGGACCACCCUAGAGCCGGCAACCCCGGCGCCUCGGAAGCGGUUGGUGCAGCGACCGGUGUACUUCGUCAGUACGGUGUUGCGCGACGCGCGGACAAGAUACCCGCAAGUACAGAAGCUCCUUCUGGGGAUUCUCCUUGCGUCCCGCAAGUUGCGCAACUACUUCCAGGCACACUGCGUCACGGUGGUGUCCGGGUUCUGCCUCGAGAGGACCCUCACCAACCGUGAAGCCACCGGGAGGGUGGCCGAGUGGAGGAUGGAGCUGUCGGAGUUUGACCUUCACUUCGCCAACUCCAAAAGCAUCAAGAGCACGGCCCUGGCGGACUUCAUCGCGGAGUGGACGUCCACGGGCGUAGAAGAAAGUGAGUCGGAGACCGGCCUUCCCGGCAAGCUGGACGAGGACCACUGGGUCCUCUACUUCGACGGUGCGUUCAGUCUCCAGGGAGCGGGGGCUGGGGUCGUCAUCGAAUCACCCACAGGGGACCAGCUGCGGUUCGCCGUCCAACUCGACUUCGCUAACUCCACCAACAACACGGCGGAGUACGAAGGCCUGCUUGCCGGGUUGCGGGCAACGAUCGCCCUCGACAUUAAGCGCCUGGUUGUUCGCGGUGAUUCCCAGCUUGUGAUCAACUAGGUGAACAAGGACUACGAUUGCCCUCAAAUGGCGCUGUACGUAGAAGAGGUCCGCAAGCUAGAACGGAAGUUCAAGGGUUUGCGCUUCGAACACGUCAAGCGAAAGGACAACUUCGCUGCUGAUGAGCUGGCCAAGAUGGCAGCAGAGCGCCGGAAGCCUCCGGCAGGGGUGUUCUGUCAGAAGCAACUAGCUCCUUCAGUCACCCCCCUGCCGGCUGCCGGGGACGCCCCUCCGGCAACCGAGGGAACCCCUGCAGCAGCAGGGGUCCAUGCCGCUGAUAUGGCGGCAUGCGUUAGCAGAGAAAUUCCUCCCUGGGCGGAAGAGAUCGCCCGCUAUUUGAAAGGAGAGGCUCUCCCGGAGGAUGACGUCGCCGCAGAGCGCGUAGCGCGGCAAGCCAAGAUGUACACUGUGAUAGACGACAGCGUCUACCGCAAGCGUGCGAAUGGUGUCAAACUCGUCUGCGUGUCGCAGGAAGAAGGGUGUGCGCUGUUGGAAGACAUACAUCGAGGCACAUGUUCACAUCAUGUGGCCUCCCGGGCUUCGGCGGCAAAGUUUUCCGGCAUGGCUUCUACUGGCCCACGGCCCUGGCCGACGCAGAGCGGCUGGUGAGGACGUGCGAAGCGUGCCAAUUCCACUCAAAGAAGAGCAACCAACCAGCCCCAGGCCCUGCAUGUCAUCCCGUCCUCAUGGCCGUUCGCGGUCUGGGGACUGGACAUCGUCGGCAAGCUACCAAGGGCGGUUGGUGGUUACGAAUACUUGUUUGUGGCCGUCGACAAGUUCUCCAAAUGGGUGGAGGUGGAACCAGUGCGCAAGGUGACCGCCCAGGCGGCCAUCAAGUUCUUUAAGGGCAUUGUGUGCCGGUUUGGUGUUCCUAGCGGCAUCAUCACCGACAACGGCACGCAAUUCACGAGCGCGGCGUUUCACGCCUACUGCGAAGACAUGGGCACUAAGCUGCGUUUCGCGUCCGUCGCUCACCCGAGGAGCAACGGGGAGGCGGAGCGAGCCAACGCAGAGGUUCUGCGGGGGCUCAAGACAAGAACCUUUGACAAGCUCAAAGGCCACGGGAAGCAUUGGGUCGAAGAACUCCAGCCCGUGCUGUGGUCCAUCCGGACCACACCUAGUCGGGCAACAGGCGAAACUCCUUUCGCCCUUGUCUAUGGGGCUGAAGCGGUGCUGCCCCUCGAGCUCAAAUACGGAUCUCCCCGAGUACGCGCGUACGGCGACACCAGCCAACACGAGCAAAGGGUCGACGAUCUAAAGUUCAUCGAAGAGCUUCGAUGCCGGGCUGCUGUGCGAGCCGCGUGCUACUAGCAGGGACUCCGUCGUUAUCACGACAGACGAGUCCGUCCCCAGGGGCUCGAGAACGGAGACCUUGUCCUGCGCCGGAUGCAAGGAACGAAGGGCGGGAACAAGUUGACUCCGAAAUGGGAGGGCCCCUUCCGGGUAGUGCAGGUGACCAGGCCGGGGGCUGUCCACCUGGAAACCGAAGACGGCUUGCCGGUGCACAAUAGCUGGAAUAUUGAACACUUGCGCAAGUUCUACCCGUGAAGUGGUGGAGCCCGAACCUCAGGUGAUGCCUCCGAUGCAUACCUCUCGAACUAGUGUAACCGGGCAGCCCCCGUGUGUAAACCGCUAGUUAAUUGUGAAUAAAGAUAAGUGUUUCCCCCCUAAGCUUUGUUUUUGCUUUGUUCAUUCGCGUGUUUUCCCCCUCUUGCCUCUUGCUUUAAGUGCACAAAGGUGUCUUUCCCUACUUGGUUGUGAGCAAGGAGCUGCCGUGGCCCUGAAACGAAAACCCGUUGCCGGAUCCUUCCGGCACUAGACAUGCCGUUGGCGGGCUUCCCGCAACGUGCAUCACUGGACAUGCCGUUGGUGGGCUCCCGCAGCCUGCACCGCGGAGUUGCUCCGCCUGGGGAAGGAAAUGCUCACAUCCAAGUUUGGCAUUGACCCUUUUGUGCCGGGGGCUGGGAAGCAGGAGAGAUUUAUCUGAUUUACCUGUGAUUUAUCUGAUUUACUUGUGUUACUUGUUUUCGUAAGUUUCGAAAAAAAUUUAGCACCUCGGAUCUGGUAAGAGUCUAACCUGCAGGAAAGGGAGGAAUCUUGUACACUGUGGUGCCCGUGAGCUGGCCACGGGUCGCACCAUACACCGGUGCCUUGUGGCGAGGGAGGACCGCAACACAAGGGGUUCACCGCACGCCGAGGCUUCUGAGUUGACGGCUGGCCGCCACGUGUGCCGCGGUUACCCGGUAAGCAUGGCGGCGGAAACUGCGCCGCGUUCGAGGAAAAGGCGCCACGGUGCCGUGCGGAUCCGUCGCGCGCGGUGGCAAGCCUCCCUCCCGCGUCUAUAAAAGGCGCGCCCCAACCAUGGAAUUGCUCAGAGCGAAGCCGGGUUCGGGGCCGUGAAAGCAGGUGGUGCGACGGAGGCGCGGAGGCGGUGCUUCCCGCCGGCGCCUAGCGCCGGCGGGUGCACCGCCAUCGCGCCCCUGCCGCAUCACCCCAUCGAGCCCACCCCGAGGGGCGCCGCAGAGGCGCGGUGGUAGUGCGUGCCAUCGGCGUCCCGCGCCGACAGGUGCACUGCCGUUGUGCCCCAGCUGCGCUUCCUCAAAGGGGCGGUUCCGGGGCGAGGGUCGUCGCAGAGGCACUGUGGUGGUGCAUCCCGUCAGCGUCCGGCGCCGACGGGGUGCAUUGCCACAGUGCCCUUGUCGCCCCCCUCCGUAGGACACCUCCGCAAGGAGCAGGGUCGGCCGCGGAGACUUUAUGGUAGUGCGUGCCAUCCGUGCCUUGUGCCAGCGGGUGCACUAUCACAGAGACGCGGCCGCAUUCCCUUUGAGAGAGCCUUUUUCGGGCGCGGGUCGUUGCGAGGACGCUAUGAUGGUGCCGGUGCCGGCGCUCGUCGCUCGUUCCGGCCCAUCACCGCGUCGUUGCCGCGGCCCUCGAGCAGUUUAGCUCCCGGGUAACAAGGGUCGUCGCAUCCCUUGGGACGAGUCCCCUAGAGAAAACCAAGGUCUCCCCAGUUGCGGGGGCUGUCGCUGGAAGGCUAUAACUUCCUCGUCACCCGUACCCGCCAUUCGAGGUGUGGCAAAGCCAGCGCCGAGGACGUUAUAGCCGUCUCGCGGCUGCUCCCGAAGCGGAGUCCUCCUAAGCCAGGGUUCGUCCCUGAAGGCCAGGGUCCGCCCCUGAGGGCGAGGAUUGCCGCAUGAGCGUGGUGGUAGCAUCGUCGUCGGCGGUUGCCGCCGGCGGCGAUCCUGCCCCCGCGUUCCGGUCGCAUCCUUCCGAGAUUGUUUCCCCUGAACAGGUACCCCGGAUGGUUUCCUGCCGAGGUAGCACCCCGUCUGCACUCUACCGCAGAGCAUCGCGGAACAUUGGACCAAACGGAAAAGCUAAGUAUCUGAACAUGAACGCUGAAUUCGCUAAGAGCUGAACGAAACUGAGCACUGCCCGCUGGGUGCGGCCCCGGAUCCCGCGCGUAGCCGGAGUGUUAGAAGGGAGUGCGCUCCCCGUGUGGCUCCCGGGUCCGCCCCGGGAGGACACGGCUUGGAGUGGUUACCCCGCAAGUGGAGUGAAUCCCCGCUACCGCUUGGCCCCAGGUCGGCACUGCGGGUCCGUCCCGGGUCCCUGGUCUGGUCAAGGGUGAGGCGUGCGCGAGUCCCCCCGCAACACAAGGCAAGACACGCACAGGCUAAGGGAACCACCCCGCGAGGCGGCCUCGGGAAUAAAAGACAAAAAUCGAGCAAACUAACAAGCUUGAUUGACUAGGUGUCGAGUGGUUACAUGGACUAAUCAAAAGGUCAUUCUCCAAACGGCGCUAAGCGGCAUACUUGCAGGAAAAGUAAACGAGAAGGAGGUACAGGGGAAGCAACGAGUAUAGCUGGGGGCUGCGGCAGCUAGCUGUCGCCGUCUUCGACCGGGGGGUCGACGGGGGGUUCAGGCUCCGGCUUCAUCUGCAUUCGCUCGACGACCUCGUCGAUGAACUCGCGCACUGCUUGGGUGUGCGUGGGCUCGUCCUUGCUGUCGGACCAAGCGUCCAGUAGGGACUCGAAGGGAAAUUCCGGGUCCCGGAGGUGAAUCCGCGGGAGGAUUGUCCCGGCAACCUCCCGGGCGCAGUUGGCGACUUCGUUGGCGCCGUACUGGGCGAUCCAGACGUCGAGCGCCGCGAGCUUCCCCAACAAGUCGGAGAAGAAGGGGAUCAGCGUCGUGACAUCCGUGCCGUUCACCUCCGCCGCCUGCAGCUCAAACUUGGGCAGCAGGUCGCGCAGCGACUCGGCGAUCUUCGCCAACUUCUGCGUCUCGAGCUGCCGCUGCCCGAUCAGCGUGCUGUGAUGGAGUCGGGCGUCUUGCGCGGCCUUUUUGGCCUUGCUGACGCGGCCCUCCAGCUUUGCAAGCUCUAAAGCCUGGGUCGCGUUGGCCUCGCCGGCCUUGGCGAGCUCUUCCCGGAUGGCGGCCAACUCGUCCUCAAGCUCGGCCGCUUUGCCUUUGACCGAGUUGAGCUCGGCCUCGUGCUGAGUCACCGCUCUCGCCGCGCCCUCGGCGGCCUUGACCUGCACCUCCAGCAGGACGCGGAGGCCUUCGAUUUUGCCGCGGUAGUUGGCGAUCAGCUCGCUCUUCUCGUCCAGCCGCGCCUGGGCCGUCACGAGCACCUCGGCAUGCUCCUUCCAGGAAGCUUCCAGGGUUGCCGCCAUUGCGUCGAGCCUGCCUUGGAGCUCCGUGCGCUGGACCUCCAGUUGCCGACGGAGCUCGGUCUCCGGGACUACCGGCUCCUGAGCAGCCUCCAGGGCUUGCCGGGCCAGCCGCGCCUCCUCUUCGGCGAGGCGCGCCUCCUCGCGUAGCCGGGAGAGUUUGCGCCGCUCUCUCUCGACGGCCUACCGCACCUCGCCGAGUUGAUUCUUGGCGGCGGUGUGGCGCUCCCUCACCUCGUUGUAGGAGGUGACGAAGGCGAACUGCUGGUACCGGACGGCGUCCAGGAACCGGUGCCCCCGCUCGAAGACGCUCGGAUCCCAGGUAAGAGGAUUCCAAGCGACCCCGGCGAGGGUGCCGAGGUCGGUGCCGGGGAGGGCCUCCGAGGAUGAUGAAGCCCCAGCUGCCGAAGUGGAGCUGGGUCGCGGGGUCGCCCACUUGCUCCCACGGGUCUUGCCGUCCUUCCCCGACAACUUCCCCCGCGCCCAGGCUCCGGGACAUCAGGGUUGGAGAGGGCUCCCUGCUUCCGCAGGGGGUCGUCCCCUGCUGGAUGGCGGGUGAGCCCGAGCCGGCCACAUCCGCGGAUUCGGGCGCGUCACCGGGUGCCGCGGCGGCGGCGGUCCCCACUGCUGCCGCUGUAUCCGUCGCGGCGGGGGCGGACACGGGAGCCGUUUCCGACUCCACCUCCGCCCCCGCGGUCCCAACGACCGAGUAGGGGUCGACCGCGGCCGCGACUGUUUCGGGCGCGGGCGCGCUUGUGCCUUGAACCGUGGAAAAGAAUAAGGUUCGGCGAUGGUUGGUGCUAUCGAAGGCGAAUAAGGGCGACCGGGGCGGUUACCUUGUGCGGCCGUCGGGCUUGCCGGUGCAGCCUCCCCUACCUCGCCUGCGCCAUCGGAAGCGUCCAAGGGUCUUGCCGCGGGCGAGUUGCCACUCGCUGCAGAAAGAGAAGGUAUGGUUGUGAAUUUGGCUAGCAGGAAUUGCAGUUGCAGAGAAUCAACGAAGACAUACCUGGUGCCGGCUCUGUCUCCGCUUGGGCUGGGUCGCCAAGGGACGCGCCAGCGCCGACGCUGGCCCCCGAGGCAGCGGGAUCGAUGGCACCGCCAGCGUCAGCGCGCGUCCUCUUGCUUGCCGAGCCGGGCGGGGAAUCGCUGCUCGCCCUCUUGCUAGCGCUCGCCGGCGAGGAGGACUUCGAAGGGUUGCGCCGGAGCGCGAAGCCCUGGAAGACACCCCGAGCGGGCGGCGCCGUGGGCGCCCGCGGGGUCAUCGUGACCCGGAGAGCUUCGGGUGUCGAUGGCGAUGCCGCCGUGACGCCGGGCAGCAAGCUCUCGGAGGCCCCCGCUACCGGAGCGAAGGCCGUCGCCGGCGCACCGGAGAACCCCGUAGGUGCUGGAGUUGCCGGGGUACCGGCGGGCACCCAGGGACCAAUUCCUGCCGUGGAGCUGGCGGCGGCCCAUGCCUUGGCGGCGGCCGCGCCGAGGCACUCGCGGCCCCUGUUGCCGCGGAUGCCGUCGUGGUACCUACGGGCGCCCGAGUAGCGGCGGCCGCCGCCAGGUUGGGGGCCGUUGCCGGGGCAGACAUCGUUGUUGAGGAAGUGGCUGCGGCCGCCGUGAACGCCCUCGACCUUCUCAGGAUCAGGGGCGCGCUAUCGCUGCUUUCCUCGUCGUCGUCCUCCACGGCGACGACUUCCGGGGACGCAGCCACCUGGCCCGCCUCGUCGUCCAGCGACCGGAGGGAGGGCCAGCUGGGCUCGGACCCGCCCUCGCUCUCCUCGAGCACCUGCUUCCUGCGGGGUGCUUGCGGGGGAGCGUGCGGGAUCCGGGUGGGGGUGUCGUCCAUCAGCCCCCACUCGUUGCAGGGCGGGAAGGCGCCGACGAUGUCGCUGAGCGCCUUGACGCCGGCAUGGAGAGCGGAGACCCCCGGCGGGAACUGUAUCGACUGGAAGACCUCGCCGGAGAUCCCUUCACCCACGUCUUGAGGGACUCCAAGUCCAUGCCGUCCGCCUGGAGGCGUGUCCUGUCCCCGAAGCCCGUGUACAUCCACGCGGGCCGGGAACGCAGCUGCAGCGGGGCUAUGCGCCGAUGGACGAAGGUGCGCGCCACGACGACAUCUGUGAGCCCCGCUAGCCGCAACGCCUUGAUCUUUUCCACGAUGGGGAGGAGGUCGGCGUCGCGGUGGUACCUGUCCUGCCAGCCGAUCUGGGGUACCGGCAGCCCCGUCGGCGGUUGGAUGAACUCCUGGGGGUCCUCCACUCGGACCCAGCACCAGUCGCUCCGCCACUCUUUUUCGAUCUUCUUCCCCGACCGAACGAUGAACUCCGACUUCAUCUGGUCGCGGGCGCGGAAAACCACCCCCGACGACAUCGCCUCCGCGUUGUCGAUGCGCGGGUAAAAGUAAUGGCGGAAGAGCCCCACCGAUGGCAUCACCCCCACGAACGCCUCGCAGAGGAACUGGAAGGUGGCGUAGUGUUUUACACCUUCGGGUGGCCCGAACCUGGGUAAAAAACGUGCGUGCGUCUGUUCUUGGACCAGCGCGUACCCCUAGCACUUUGCCUCGCCGGCCCCGUGGGGCCUCAUCGGCCGUGCCGGCGAUCAUCUGGUCUCCACCCCAGACGCCCCUACCGAACCUAAAAGGGGGACGUGGCCGCACGCCCCCGGUGUCGGAGCACCAAGCGACGACAUCUGGCGUGCCAGGUAGGGGGCGCGGGAGUGGACAGCGUCGGAGAUCGCCGGCAACGGAAGUUCCCAUCGGCAUCGGCCUCACUCUUCUUCGUCGACGAGCCUUGUCACCAUAUCCCCUAAGCGGGCUGGUGAUUCACGCAUAGACCCGCGUGAGGCCCCAGCGGCGCACACGCGGUUGCACGACGUGCGACCCGAGCGGGAGCUCAAGAGAAUCCCGAGCCCUCGAGGGAGCAGCAAACGCAGCUGCCUCCACCGCCUCCCCGACCGUCGACGGACAAUCGGCCGAGGGGACCGGCUGCCCCCGCGCCGGGGGCAGUCGGGCGAUCACGCAUGGUGUCGCCCGGGCCAGCCAACGGGUGGAGUCGCGACCCGUGGAUGCCCGCGGCAGCUGCACCCGGAGCACGCCGCGUCACGGGCGACCCCUGGAGGUUCGCACCCUGCGCACCCGGAGGCGUCCGGGGCCAGGGCGGGAAGCAGCCGUUCAGGAAAUCGGUUGCCCCCUGUGCGAACCCCGGCUGAAGCCAUCAUCGCCGCGCGCGUCAUGGUGCGAUACGAGCCGCAGCAGGGCACGCCGGCGCACGAGACGUGGGGCGAGGAGUUGGAAGCGCUUCUCGCCCUGGCCGCCCAACAGCCGCAAGGCGGGGGCGCCCUGGUAGCUCCGGCCACGGGCCGAACUCAGAGCGCGAAGGCGCGCCGCCCGCCUCGCGACAGGGGGAGAAGCCUCCCCCUCCUCAGCGGGGCCUGGUAGACGGGUGCCCGGAGGGGUCCUCGAAUUCGUCGCCCACCGUCCCGGGGGGCGAUGCAUGUGGCAUCUUGAAUGCCCGACAACAGGAGGAUCUGCGCCGGCGCUUGGAGUGCCGGCGCAGGCGCGAGGUGGAGCGCCGGCACCCACUGGGACAAGAAGACGCUCCCCUGGGCCCAGAAGACGGCGGCACCGCGUUCGCGCGCGAGUUGCGGCGGGUGGUGUGGCCCCGUAAGUUCCGAGCGCCUGCGCUCGGUACGUACGACGUGACCGCUAACCCCAAAGAUUUUCUCCUGACCUAUACGCUGGGCAUGCAUGCCAUCGACGCCGACGACAAGGUCAGGGCGAAUUGGUUCCCGAUGGUCCUGAAGGGAUCAGCGCGAACCUGGUUGCUUAACCUACCCGCUGGAUCCGUCGCCACCUGGGCAGACCUGCACGAGCAGUUCGUGAGCGCGUUCCAGGGCGGUUAUAAGCGCCCGGGAACCAUGGCGGAGCUGCACACCAUCGUGCAUUAACCUGAAGAGUUCGCGCCGUUCUUUCUCCACGGCCUCCCGCACCUCGCCGAGUUGAUUCUGGGCGGCGGUGUGGUGCCCCCUCACCUCGUUGAAGGAGGUGACGAAGGCCAAUUGCUGGUCCCGGACGGCGUCUAGGAACCGGUGCCCUCGCUCAAAGACGCUCGGAUCCCAGGUAAGGGGGUUCCAAGCGACCCCGGCGAGGGUGCCGAGGUCGGUACCCGGGCGAGCCCCCGAGAAUGAUGAAGCUCCUGCUGUCGAAGUGGGGCUAGGCGCGGGGUCGCGGACUUGCUCUCGGGGGUCUUGCCGUUCUUCCCCGGCAACUUCCCCCGCGCCCGCGCUAUGGGACCCCGGGGCUGGAGAAGGCUCCCUGCCUCCGGCGGGGGUUGCCUCCUUUUGGACGACAGGUGAGCCCGUGCCGACCACGUCCGCAGCUUCGGGCACGUCGCAAGGUGCCGUCACGGCAGCGGCGGUGUCCUCUGCUGCCGCUGUGUCCGUCACAGCGGGGCCGGACGUGAGAGCCGGUUCCGCCUCCACCUCCGCCCCCGCGGCCUCGACGACCGAGUCGGGGUUGACCACGGCCACGCUCGUUCCUGGCAUGGGUGCACUUGUGCCUGCAACAAUGAGAAGCAUGAGAACCGGCGAAGGAUGGCGCCUUCAAAGGCGGACAAGAGCGACCAGGGCGGUUACCUUGUGUGGCCGUCGGGCUUGCCGGGGGACCCUCCCCUGCCUCGCCUGCGCCUGCGGGAGAGUCCAAGAGGCUUGCUGCGGGCGAGCUGCCGCUCACUGCAGAAAAAGAAGGUAUGUUCAUGAGUUUGGCUAACAAAAAUUGCAGUUGCAGAGAAUUAGCGAAGACAUACCCGGUGCCGGCCCUGCCUCCGAUGUGGCUGGGUCGCCAAGGGACGCGCCCGCGCCACUGCUGACCCCCGCGGCAGUGGCGUCGGCGCGCGUCCUCUUGCUUGGCAUGCUGGGCGGGGAAUCGCACCUCGCCCUCUUGCUGGCACCCGCCGGCGAGGACGACUUUGGGGGGUUGCGCCAGAGUGCGAAGCCCCGAAUGACCCCCCGAGCGGGCGGCACCGUGGGCGCCCGCGGAGUCGCCGCAACCCGGAGAACUCCGGGUGUCGUCGGCAAGACCGCCGUGGCGCCGGGAGCCAAACUCGCAGAGGCCCCCGCUACCGGGGCGAAGGCCCUUGCCGGGGCGCCGGUGACCCCCGCAGUCGCGGGUGCCGCCGGGGUGCCAGCGGGCACCCCGGGACCGGUUCCCGCAGCGGUGCUGGCGGCCGCCGCCGAGGCCCCCGCGGCCCCUGUCAAGGUACCGACGGGCGCCCCCGAAGCGGCGGCCGCCGCCAGGGUGGUUGCAGCCGUUGAGGAGAUUGCUGCAGCCGCUGCGAACGCCCUCGAUCUUCUCACGAUCAAGGGAGCGCUGUCGCUGCUUUUCUCGUUGUCGUCCUCCACGGCGAUGACUUCCGGGGACGCGCCCACCUGGCCCGCCUCGUCGUCCAGCGACCGAAGGGAGAGCCAGCUGGGCUCGGACCCGCCCUCGCUCUCCUCGACCACCUGCUUCCCGCGGGAUGCUUGCGGGGGAGCGUGCGGGACCCGGGUGGGGGUGUCGUCCAUCAGCCCCCACUCGUUGCAGGGCGGGAAGGCGCCGACGAUUUCGCUGAGCGCCUUGACGCCGGCUUCGAGAGCCGAAACCCCCGGCGGGAACUCCGUUGAUUAGAAGAGCUCGUCGGAGAUCCCCCUCACCCAUGUCCUGAGGGCCUCCAAGUCCAUGCCGUCCGCCUGGAGGCGUGUCCUGUCCUCGGAACCCGUGUACAUCCACGCGGGCCGGGAGCGUAGCUGCAGCGGGGCUAUGCGCCGAUGGACGAAGGUGCGCCACGUCGACAUCGGUGAGCCCCGCUAGCCGCAGCGCCUUGAUCUUCUCCACGAUGGGGAGGAGGUCGGCGUCGCGGUGGUACCUGUCCGGCGAGCCGUUCUGGGGUACCGGCAACUCCGUCGGUGACUAGAUGAACUCCUGGGGGUCCUCCACCAGGACCAAGCACCUGUCGCCCCGCCACUCUUUUUCAAUCUUUUUAGCCGACCGGACGAUGAACUCGGACUUCAUCUGGUCGCGGGCGCGGAAGACCACCCCUGACGACAUCGCCUUCGCGUUGUUGAUCCGCGGGUAGAAGUAGUGGCGGAAGAGCCCCACCGACGGCAUCACCCCCACGAACGCCUCGCAGAGGAACUGGAAGGUGGCGAGGAGGAACAACGAGGUGGGGUGGAGCUGCGCCACCCGCAACUGAUAAGACUCCAUCACUGCGUGGAGGAACAGAGAGAAGGGCGGCACCAUGCCGCAGAGGAGGAAGCGCGCGAACACCCAGAAAUCGUUGUCCUGGUGCUCGACGCCCGCCGGGAAUAUUUGCGUCUCCCCGUGCUCGUUAAAGCUGGAGGCGACGGCGAGCCGGAGCUUCCCCAGCGCCUCGCUGUUAUAGCCGGGGUGGAAGAAGGCGACUGUGACGCGCAUCUCCCGCCUGUUCUGGUCCUUGGCGGCGGCCGCUUUGAUUGCCGCCUCGGUCUUGCUUGCCGUGGGCUUCUUCGCGGUUUGGACCUCCUUCCCCUUCCUAGUGGUGGGGCCCGCCAUGGAAAGCGAGGGCGGAAGCUGGCAGGAGCACAGGGAUACGAGAUGUGGAAGAGGAUGGAGGCGAAAGGGCAAAGUGUUGUUUCCCUUUUGGCAACAGUAGAGGCUUUAUGACGCCCGGCCGUUUGGUAACGGCCGGUUCCGUACCCUACGGGUGCGCGGGGAUACCUAAUCACUGGGAGUAAUGCGCGGAGUGGCCUUAACUACCCUAUUUAGGGGGGGAGUUAGGGAGUACACGGGACAGCAAAGGGAGCGUCCACUGCUCUGCUUGUAACGGCGCCGUACACGGGGCAGUGAAGGGACGCGGGCCCGCGACUGAUCGGGGCCCACGCGUCGGUUAAGGGCGUAGCCCGGCAACCGACUAGGGGGAGACCCUUCCGGGAACAGGUGAUGCCGGCCCACGCCCGGGGGCUACUGUCGCACCAGUGGCACCCGGGGUACCACGGCUGCACGACGCGCGGGCCCCUCUCCCGAGUUCCUGGGAAGGUCUCAUCCCGGGGAGCGUCUAUGAGCUGCCCGGCAAGCUACCAGCCCGAAAGGAGCUAGCGCGGCUUCGGGGGAUAUUCCCGCUUGGGCACCUCCCGGGAAGCUGCUUCCCGGGAGGGGUUUCCCGGGUGCGUUUGGCCGGGUGUUUCCCGGGGUCGACUUGUUGGGACUGGGGGUUCCCGGGCGCGUGCCCCCGCCUCGGGUCGUGGGGCCCAGUGGAAAGCGCCGCGCGGGCGCGUGGCAGUUGCGGGACGCGCGGUCCCACCGAGGCAAGGAGUAAGGCGUACGGCUCAGUAAGCGAGCUGACCGACGGUUAGUUACCCGUCGGAUCCAAGGAACAGUGGUUGUCUAAUCCUACCCUAGGGUCUUAGGCCCCUAGCAGCGGAGGUGGCACCCAUGUUGGAGAUAUGCCCUAGAGGUAAUCAUGUGAUGAUGUUAUUUCCUAUGUAUUCAUGAGUUAUUGUUAUUAUCCUUGAACAUCAUCACUGAUAUGUAUCAAUAAAUACGUGAUUUGUUUGUGAGACUAUGUAUUCUAUGAUGUUGUUCUAAUAGUCCCUGGUCAUUGAGGUUAUGCGGACACAGAACCUAGACUAGUAAUUUGAAUCAGUAUGAUGACUAUGUUUCACAAGUCAUAGGGCAAGGUGUUGCCGACUGAUAGCAUGAACUCGACAAUGAGAUUGUUGAGUCGGACAGACCCGCACUGAGACACAACGAGAUGAUUGUCAUUUGUUAGUCUCAAGUACGAUGUAUAUGCCAGUCCUAGACCUGAGGUCAUCGCAUGAGCUUGGGAUGUGAAUUGGCCUACUUAGGAGUUGCCAAACGCUACUCCGUAACUGGGUGGUUAUAAAGGUAGCUUUCGGGUUUGCUGAGAAGCAUGCUGCGAGUCAUGGUUGAUCAAGAUGGGAUUUGCCCCUCCUGUUCAGAGAGAUAUCUCUGGGCCCUCUCGAGUGAUCAGAUUCGGAAAGCAUGGCCAUGCGACUUGGGUUAAGUGUUAACCCGUUCGGAAAUUUGUAUCACAGGAACGAGAAGAGAGUCGAGCUAUCCACAAGGAUGACAAGCACUCGCCUUGAGCUCAACACACAUAUCGUGAGGCAAAAGGAAUGUUGCAUAUGACACAUUGUAUGGUUCGUCAAUAUACCUUGUGGUUACUCGGGAGUUGGCACGUGCUGCUAGGUGCCGCUACCAACUAUCGACUUGAGUCGGUGCCAGUGGACAAGUAAGGUGUUGCUCGGGCCCGCAGUCCGAGCUCGUAGUCGUGUCCGACUGACCGCGAACCUGAAGGGUCACACGCUUAAGGGGUGGGAACCGAGUUGGAUCGGAUCCAACUCGUAUCGGGCUUAGACUCCUAAUGGCCUCAAGUGUUGAGCCCACUAGGGACGUCUAUAUAAGCGGAGGAGACCAACCCGUCUAGGGUUACACCAGUACAGACGCGAGUUAGACUCGGCUGUCACACCUCCACGCCCAAAGCCUUGCGAUCGGAUCUAGCAGUCCGUCGCACGGAGUUCCUCUCUGUACGUGUGGAUACCUCGGAGGCGCUGCACCUGCGGCGCUUGGACGAACUGUUCGUGGGAUCGGCGAGGAGGAGCAGGCUGUUCGACUACUCGGCAUCGACGCGCUACAUCGACUCUACUUCCGCUACGGGUCUGCGCGUCUAGUGGUAAUCUCGUGAUCCAUUAUCUACAGCAUUGGUCUGGGCGGAACCAGUAGAAAUUUAUUUUGUGCUAGCGUAGCAUACCACGUUCCCCAACAACCCAUGCACGCCACCAGCACGCUGCCCCGCAAGCAUCCCGCGGGAAGCAGGUGCUCGAGGAGAGCGAGGGCGGGUCCGAGCCCAGCUGGCCGUCCCUCCGGUCGCUGGACGACGAGGCAGGCCAGGUGGCUGCGUCCCCGGAAGUCGUCGCCGUGGAGGACGAUGACGAGGAAAGCAGCGACAGCGCGCCCUGGAUCGUGAGAAGAUCGAGGGCGUUCGGAGCGGCCGCAGCCAUCUCCUCAACGAUGACGUUCGCCCCGGCAGCGACCAACAACCUGGCGGCCGCCGCCGCUUCUGGGGCGCCCGUCGGUACCUCGACGUUAUCCGCGGCAACAGGGUAACUACUCCAAGCCGUGCCCCUCCAGGACGGACCCGCGAAGCCACACGGGGAGCGUACUCCCCCCGCAAGCAUCCCUUUUAACACUCCGGCUAUGCGCGGGAUCUGGGGCCGCACCCAGCGAGACAGUGCUCAGUUUCGUUCAGCUCUUAGCGAAUUCAGCGUUCAUGUUCAGACACUUAGCUUUUCCGUUCGGUCCAAUGCCUCGUGACGCUCGGUGGUAGAGUGGAGACGGGGCACUGCCUUGGUAGGAACCCACCAUUGGUACCUGUCCAAGGGAAACGAUCUCUGAGGGAUGCGGCAGGAGCGCGGGGGCAGGAUCGCCGCCCGCGGCAACCGCCGCCGACGAUGCUACCACCACGCUCACGCGGCAACCCUCGCCUUCAGGGAUGGGCCCUGGCUUUCAGGGAGGAACCCUGGCCUUCAGGGAGGAGCCCUGGCUUAGGAGGACUCCACCCCGGGAGCAGCCGCAAGACGGCUAUAACGUCCUCGCCGCCAGCUGCGCCCCACCCCGAACGGCGGGCACGGGUGGCGAGGAAGUUAUAGCCUCCCAACGACAGCCCCCGCAGCUGGGGAGACCUGGUUUUUUCUGGGGAACUCGUCCCAAGGGAUGUGACAGCCCUUGUUGCCCAGGGGCAAAACUGUCCGAAGGCCGCGGCAGGGACGCGAUGAUGGGCCGGAGCGGGUGACGAGCGCCGGCACCGGCGCCAUCACAGCGUCCCCGCAACGACCCGCGCUCGAAAAAGGCUGUCUCAAAGGGAAUGCGGCCGGGUCUCUAUGAUAGUGCACCCGUCGGAACGAGGCACGGAGGGCAUGCACUACCAUAGAGUCUCCGCGGCAGCCCCUGCUCCUUGCGGAGGCGUCCUAUGGAGGGUGGCGACAAGGGCAUUGCGGCAAUGCACCCCGUCAGCGCCGGACGCUGAUGGGAUGCACCACCACAGUGCCUCUGCGGCGACCCUCGCCCAGGAGCCACCCACUUGAGGGAGCGCGGCAGGGGCACAACGGCAGUGCACCCGUCAAAGCAGGACGCCGAUGGCAUGCACUACCAUCGUGCCUCUGUGGCGUCCCUUGGGGCGGGCUCGAUGGGGUGAUGCAGCAGGGGCGCGAUGGCGGCGCACCCGCCCGCGCUAGGCGCCGGCGGGAAGCACCAGCCCCGCGCCUCCGUGGCACCACCCGACUUACCAGCCCCGAACCUGGCUUCGCUCUCAGCCAUUCCAUGGUUGGGGCGCGCCUUUUAUAGGCGCGGGAGGGGGAUUUGCCACCGCGCGCGACGGACCCGCGCAGCACCCGUGGCGCCCUUCCUUCGAACGCGGCCCUGUCAACUCAAAAGCCUCGGAGUGCGGUGAGCCCCUUGUGUUGCGGUCCUCCCGCACCACAAGGAACCGGUAUAUGGUGCGACCCGUGGGCAGUUCACGGGCACCACAGUGUACAAGAUUCCACCCUUUCUUGCAGGUUAGACUCUUACCAGGCCUGAGGUGCUGCAAAUUUUUUCAAAACUUACGAAAAUAAGCAACACAGACAAAUCCCUCCUGCCUCCCAGCCCCCGGGCACAAAGGGGUCGAUGCCAAACUUGGAUGUGAGCAUUUCCUUUCCCAGGCACAGAGACUGUGCGGUGGUGGCUGCGGGGGGCCGGGCAACUGCACGCCCAGUGAGUGAUGCACGUUGCGGGAAGCCUGCCAACGGCACGUCCAGUGAUGCACGUUGCGGGGAGCCCGCUAACGGCACGUCCAGUGAUGCACGUUGCGGGGAGCCCGCCAACGGCAUGUUCCGUGAUGCACGUUAAUAGCAUGUCAAGUGAUGCACGUUGCAGGGAGCCCGCCAACGACAUGUCCCGUGCCGGAACGUUCCGGCAACGGGUUUACGUUUCGGGGCCACAACAGCCCCCUGCUAACAACCAAGUAUGGGAAGACACCUUUGUGCACUUAAAGAAGGAGACAGAAGAGGGAAAAACAUGCGAAUAAACAAGGCAAAUCUAAAGCUCGCAUAGCAGCCCGGCAUCGAAGCUCUUCGAUGAAGUUUAGAUCGUCGACCCUUUGCUCGUGUUGGCUGGUGUCGCCGUACGCGCGUACUCGGGGAGAUCCGUACUUGAGCUCGAGGGGCAGCACCGCUUCUGCCCCGUAGACAAGGGCGAAAAGAGUUUCGCCCGUUGCCCGACUAGGUGUGGUCCGGAUGGACCACAGCACGGGCUGGAGUUCUUCGAUCCAGUGCUUCCCGUGGCCUUUGAGCUUGUCAAAGGUUCUCAUCUUGAGCCCCCGCAGUACCUCUGCGUUGGCUCGCUCCGCCCGUCUGUUACUCCUCGGGUGAGCAACGGACACGAAGCGCAGCUUAGUGCCCAUGUCUUCGCAGUAGGCUUGAAACGCCGCGCUCGUGAAUUGCGUGCCAUUGUCGGUGAUAAUGCUGUUAGGGACACCAAACGGGCACACAAUGCCCUUGAAGAACUUGAUGGCCGCCUGGGCGGUCACCUUCCGCACUGGUUCCACCUCCACCCACUUGGAGAACUUGUCCAUGACCACGAAUAAAUAUUCGUAACCGCCGACCACCCUCGGUAGCUUGCCGACGAUGUUCAGCCCCCAGACCGCGAACGGCCAUGAGGACGGGAUGACAUGCAGGGCCUGCGCCGGUUGGUUGUUCUUCUUUGAGUGGAACUGGCACGCCUCGCACGUCUUCACAAGUCGCUCCGCAUCGGCCAGGGCCGUGGGCCAGUAGAAGCAAUGCCGAAACGCCUUGCCGGCUAGAGCCUGGGAGGCCACAUGGUGUGAACAUGUGCCUCGAUGUAUGUCUUCCAACAGUGAGCACCCUUUUUCCUGCGGCACUCAGAUGAGUUUGACACCGUUCGCACGCCUGCGGUAGAUGUUACCAUCUACCACAAUGUACAUCUUGGCUUGCCGCGCUACACGCUCCGCGGCGACGUCAUCUUCCGGGAGAGCCUCCCGUUUCAAAUAGCGGGCGAUUUCUUCCGCCCAGGGGGCAAUCAGGCUCUCGUAUUCCGCCGUGCUGUUGGUGAAGUUAGCGAAGUCGAGUUGAACAGCAAACCUCAACUAGUCCCCUAUUGGUGACUCGAUGACGACCCCAGCGCCUGCUCCUUGAAGACUGAACGCAUCGUCGAAGUAGAGGACCCAGUGGUCCUCGUCCAACUUGCCGGGCAGGCAGGUCUCCGGCUCACUUUCUUCUACGCCCGUGGACGUCCAUUCCGUGACAAAGUCCGCCAGGGCCGUGCUCUUAAUGCUUUUGGAGUUGGCGAAGUGGAGGUCGAACUCCGACAACUCCAUCCUCCAUUCGGCCACCCUCCCGGGGGCUUCACGGUUGGUGAGGGCUCGCUCGAGGCAGAACCCAGACACCACCGUGACGCGGUGCGCCUGGAAGUAGUGGCGCAGCUUGCGGGACGCAAGGAGAAUGCCCAGAAGGAGCUUCUGUACUUGCGGGUACCUUGUCCGCGCGUCGCGCCGCACGUACUAACGAAGUACACCGGGUGCUGCACCAACCGCGUCCGCGGUGCCGAGGUUGCCGGCUCGGGGGCGGUUCCGGGUCUGAGGCGGUUGCUGGGGGCUGCCCCGCCCCCUGCCCCGCAGCCCCAGUCCCCGGGACGUCUUCCUCCCUCUCGGCAAUCAGCACCGAGCUGACCACCUGGUCAGUCGCCGCUAAGUAGAGUUCAGCGGCUCGCCCGGCUUGGGGGUGACGAGGAUGGGCGGCGACCUCAGGUACUGCUUGAGUUCUUAGAACGCCGCCUCGGCCUUGGGAGUCCAGUCGACUGGACUCUUCUUCUUCAUCACCCUGAAGAAAGACAAGGCACGCUUGCCCAGCCUGGAGAUGAAACGUCCCAGCGCGGCAACACAGCCGUUGAGGUGCCGGACAUCUUUCACCAUGUGGGGGGCCUCCAUCUUCUCGAUGGCUUCUACUUUGGUCGGGUUGGCCUGUGUCCCCCCGUGUGAAACCAAGAAACCCAGAAGCUGCCCGGACUUGACACCGAAGGUGCCCUUAGCAGGGCUCAGCUUGAGCUUGAUCCUGCGGAGGUUGUCGAACGUCUCCCGUAGGUCAUCAACCAGCGAGUCCCCACGCUUCGUCCAUGUAGGCCUCCGCGUUGCGGCCUAGCUGGGGCCCCAAACAUUCGCGCAGGGCGCGCAGGAAUGUGGAGCCCGCGUUCUUCAACCUGAAGGGCAUGCAUGUAUAGCAAUAGCAGCCAACCGGGUGAUAAACGCUGUCUUUUCCUCAUCCUCGACCGCCAUCUUGAUUUGAUGGUAGCCGGAGAAAGCAUUCAGAAAACUCAGCAAGUCACAACCAGCGGUAGAAUCAACUAUUUGGUCGAUACGGGGUAUAGGCAAGGGAUCCUUGGGGCAUGCACGAUUGAGAUCGGUAAAAUCUACGCACAUGCGAAGCUUAUUCCCUGCUUUAGGCACUAUUACAGGGUUAGCCAGCCAAGUGGGGUACAAAAUUUCCCUGAUUGCCCCGGCAGCCUUGAGCUUGCCCACCUCUUGCUUGAUGAAAUCUUUCCGCUCUUGUGCUUGCCACCGGAUCUUCUGCUUGACGGGGUGCGCAUCCGGGCGCACCGCGAGCCGAUGCUCAAUCACCUCCCUGGGACUCUGGGAAGGUCCGACGGUUACCAGGCGAACACGUCGGCAUUAUCCCGGAGGAAGGUGACGAGGGCGCUUUCCUAUUCGGCGGCCAGGUUCACACCGAUAGUAACGGUGAGCUCCCUGUCGCCGGCUUGGAGGGACAGCUUCUUCACUUUGGCGGCCUCCUCCCGGAGCUCUGCCCCUUCCCGGGGCACGAGCUCGAGCCUGCGCCUCUUCCGGCAAGCCCUUGUGGGGUAGCGCGGGCCUUCUUCGUUGCCGGGGCACCGCCUGGCAAGCCGUCGUCCUUGACAGCAUCCUCGUCGCCGGCGUCAGCUGCAGCAGCGGCCCGGACGACCACGCCAACACGCCAAGCCGCGUCUUUGAGGUUGCACCUGAUGGAGAGGACUCCAUAGAAGGACAGCAUCUUCAUCACGCCAUAGACGCAAUGCGUAGCCGCCAUAAACUUGAUUAGCGCUAGCCGACCAAGGAUCCCGUUGUAGGGCAACGGGGUAUGCGCCACGUCGGACACUAUGUGCUCGGUCCUGAACGCUUCCCGAGACCCGAAGGUGACCGGCAGCGUGAUGCGUCCCAACGGGCGCACGAUCCCGGGGUUCACCCCCCGGAACGGUUCGGUGGGCUUCAGCUGCUCCAUCGGCAGCUGGAGCUUUUCCACCAGCCUGGCGGACAGGAGGUUAAGCCCCGCUCCGUUAUCCACUAGCACCUUGGUCACCGUCAUAUUGCUAAUGAUCAGCGAGACGACGAAGGGUAUUACCACGGAACCCAACUGUCGCGCUGGGUGAUCGUCGGCGCUGAAGGUCACGUGCGACCACCUCAGCGGCUGUUGCGGCUCUGCAUCCGGCAACAGCGCGCACACGUCGCGGGUGAGGCGCUUCACCGUGGCGUGGGAUGGGAGCGCGUAAGAUCCCCCAAGGAUGCAGGCGACGCCACGAGGCUCCUGGAAGCCCGGUUCGUCGCCGCCGGUGUAGUCGGACUCGCGCUGCUCCUCAGCGCGCGUCCUGUCGCGUCCCCGAGGAGGGCGUUCACCCCAAGCGCGGGGUUGGCCGUGUCCCCCUUGGGGUUCACCCCUGCCGGCGCCACCGCCGGCCGGCCUCGGACCCGCUCUGGGGUCGUUCGGGCAAUCUCGGGAGAGAUGCCCGAUGUCGCCACAAUUGAAGCAGGUGCCGACGGCGCGGCGCUCCUCGUGGCGCUGCUCCCACCACUGCUUGAUCCCCUGCAAAACGCGGCAAUUCUGCGCGUUGUGGGUGGAGUUGCUGUGGAUGGGGCAGCGGGGCGCGUCGCCCGGCUUCCCGCCAGACUCUCCACCCGGCGAGGCCUUCUUCGUGGGCCUCGCGGCGGGAGCCCCCGAGUCCGCAGCGCGGACUUGGUUCCCGCUGCACUUGCGGGAACCCUUCUUCUUCGGGCCCUCGCCAGGGCUCGCGGCAGCCUGGGCUGCCAGCUCGGGUGCUAGGCGUACAAGUCCUGCGUCGUCCGGAUCCGAUGCGUGCUCAGCUUCUCGUGCAUCUUGGGUUCGCGGACAUUGAUGGCGAAGGUGUUGAUAAUGGCAGCCGCCUCCGCCUCCGGGAUGGAAUAGGAGAGGUUGGAGAAGCGGUUGACGAAGGCCCGCAGUUGUCGUCGCUGGGUGCUCCGACACCGGGGGCGUGCGGCCACAUACCCCCUUUUAGGUUCGGUAGGGGCGUUUGGGGCGGAGACCCGGUGAUCACCGGCACGGCCGAUGAGGCCCUACGGGGCCGGUGAGACAAAGUGCUAAGGGUGCGCGCUGGUCCAAGAACAGGUGCACACACGUUUUUUACCAAGGUUCGGGCCACCCGGAGGUGUAAAACCCUACGUCAUGCCUGUCUGAGCUGAUAUUGAUUACGGAUGAAAUGUUUACGGGUUGCCGGGCAAGCUCCCGGGCUAUCUCUCAGUGGCUAGGCACCCCUGAAGCGACCGCCCCCUUACAAGGGUUCGAUCUCUGUGCUUUAGUGCUAGUCCCUGGAUCGACUCACUAGCACACACAGUUUCAAGAUGUAAUAUCAUAGAACAAAGGUCUCAAUAUUACAACGUAUCAUCCAGAAUUUAAAAGAUACUUACAACUCGCAUAACCUCACGGGUUAGCUGGAAAUAAAACAACUGUUUAGCAAUGGAAAACGGAAGAUACAAGGGCACAUCAACACCACGAAGAGAGCGUGUUGGAAUGUAAGUCCGUAACCCAAACAUGCAGAACGUACAUCUUACUCGUCGUCGGUGCUUCCUGCAUCAUUAAACGAUGCAGCCACUAGGGUCAAUACAUUGAAUGUAUUGACAAGAUUCACUAGGAGUUAUAAUAGAACGUACCAAGUAUAUGCAGUAUUUGGCAAAGUGGAGUUCAGGCUGUUUGCGUGGAAGCAGAACAUAAAUUACCCUACUACAAAAGAAUGUUAUAGUAAUGUUAACUAAUGGACACGGGGUAGACACACCGAUGCUCCUAUUAACCUAGAGUACAUUGAAGUGGAUUCUUCAAGUACCCCUACCCUGUUCAAACCAUUCAUUUUAUUUAAGAAAUUGGAAUGAGUGAAACUUUCCUUACAGCUCCAUAUCUAGUCGCUCAAAAUGUCCGUUGCCGGGGACACGGCUAAGUACUUAGUUUUAACGCUCUCAACAGUUUGUACACAUUCCCCACAAGAAACCGACGUGUUAAUCCCUUGCUGACCUCAGGUUAGAGUAGCAACGGCAUCGAUUACGAGAUUUUCAGAGGUAAUUCCCUAAACCACGAGAGAAUCACGCUCCCCCUACACAGCUACCUCAGUACAAUUCCUCGGGUCUAGGUUCAUACAACUUACUCUUGUCUCGUCAGAGCCCAUAUAGCAUUGUGGUUGUGCGGCCAUGCGGGAAUAUCCCCCGAAGCCGCGCUAGCCCCUUUCGGGCUGGUAGCUUGCCGGGGAGCUCAUAGACGCUGCCCGGGAUGAGACCUUCCCAGGAACCCGAGAGAGGGGCCCGCGCAUCGCGCAGCGGUGGUACCCCGGGUGCCACUGGUUUGGAAAUUGUUGGGAGUAGGUGGAAGGUGCCUCUUCUUCUUGAGUUACUUGGAAGCAUGCUCCAUAAACUCCACAUCAUCCAAAAGAGGAGCCUUGGUUAGAAUCAACUUCAUGAUGAACGGGAAAAAAAGAGGCACUCUCCGUGAGAGAAUCGCCGCAUGAAGCUCAUAAGACUCCUGUCGGUGCAUUAAAUGCACUGCGCCCGCCGUCUCGUCCUGUCUUCACUGUUCUUGCGGGCCCCGCCUGCAUGCGCAAGCGUGGGUUGCUGGGGUGCCCCUUCCCGGCUAGCGCACCUGCUAGUUGCCGGGAGGCGUUCCUUCAGCUUCCCGGGACCGGGGUUCCUGGGAGCUUCUUGUACUUGGCCCUUAGCUUCACCUUCACCAAGGGUCGUCUCCUCGAGGCAGGCUUUCCGGACUCAUCGCUUCCCGGGAGGUCUUCUUGACAGGACUUCAUCACUGGCGACCAACGUGUCCCGUAUCAGUGGGACCCCGUGGGCCACUGGUACGACAGUAGCCCCCGGGCGUGGGCCGGCAACCUUGAAGCUUCCGGCAAGUGCUAUCCUCGGUCGUUUGCCGGGCUACGCCCUACCCGAUGUGUGGGUCCCAAGGGGGAACCCCCCUGACACCCGGCCUCGCGGGCCGCAUUUAUAGUUCCACUCCUCUGAGCGAAAUGGUCGGGCGCACGAUUUCGUGCCUUAUCCCCCUUAAUCACCAGAGGGUUAAGGCCAUGUCGUGCACCCCUCUCUUAAUCCCCGAUUCUUUAGGGCACUUUAUAACCGAUCGUGGGGGUGUCCGUUGUAGCCCGCCACCCCGAUAAAUACCCAAGGCCGACCGCGGGCACUCCCCAUUGCCUCUUGCUUCUGCCAUUGCCUCCUCCCAAGCUCUCCGCGCCCCCUACUCCGACCAGACCACCUCUCCACCUCCGCCGAUGUCUUCCAAGGGCCAGAACCAUCCCAAGGGGAGCACCAGCAAGGGGGAAAAGCGCGAAAAGGCCAGUAAGACCGAGCUGUCGGACAGGGGCCGGAAGGAUGAGGAAAUGCGGGCUAAGUUCGCCUUCUCCCCCCCCCCCCCGGGUACAACGGCGAGGGGGUCGACAAGCUGGUUUUGGCGCUGGCCACCAAGCACAACGAGUACGGGCCGACGCGGAUUCUCCUCGUUGAUGCGGAGUGCAACGGACGGUACUUCCGGAUCUUCGGGAGGUUCAUCCUUGCCGGGUUCGUGCCGCCGCACUUCUACUUCCUUUCAACCAUCAUGGAGACCUAUGGGCUCAUCAUGGCGCAGCUUCACCCCACGUCGUUCUUCACACUGGCUGUCUUGCAACACCUCUGUGAAGCGUUCGUGGGGAUGAUGCCGUCGGUGGCGUUAUUCUGCCACUACUACUACCCGAGGGUGGAGUGUUCCGAUUCCGUGACAAGAUCAAGUCGGAGUUCAUCGAGUUGGGGAAGAAAAAGAUCGAGCACGAGUGGCGCCGCGACUGGUGCUGGGCGCGCACCGACGAGCUCCAGGAGUUCCACGAGGAGCCCCUCGGGCCUCCGACGGGCUCUGACGACUGGAAGCUCCGCGACCAGAACGACGAGGAGCUGGCCCCAAUCUGCGUGAAGAUCAAAGCGCUCCGUGAGGCUGGGCUCACGGACACGGAUGUGGCCCGCCACUUCAUCGGGAGGCGCGUGGCUCCCCUGUAGCGGCGCUCACAUCCAGCGUGGAUGUCGGAGCACGGUCUCCAGCACCGGGGAUGCUGAGCACCCACUUUUUGGUUCGGUGGAGGGCGAGGUGAUCGCUCUGGCAAUCGCCGACGUGGCUAUCGACACGAAGGGUUGACACGAGAGUUUACCCAGGUUCGGGUCACCCGGAGGUGUAAUACCCUACGUCCUGCUUCGAAGUUGUAUUCCUUAGUAUGAGUGUUACAGGUUGCCGAGGAGUUCCCAGGCUUUUCUACUCGUCCCUCUAAGGGCUUAGCUACUUGGGUGAAUGCUGAACUGGUCGGAACCGAACUGAACUGAGGUCGAACCCUUUGACCGGUGACAUCGGUCCUCCUUUUAUAGAUAAGGGGAUACCACAGGUACCUAUGCAUGCAGUGUGACACGUUUCCCAGACGCAUGUCACAGCCACAUGAAAUACAUCUUUGCUCAUCCAUGCUGGACGCCAUGCAGCGCCCGGUCCACUGUACAAGGUAGGAAAAAUAGUUCGUAGGGUAGUCGCCCUAGCUUUGUUAAGCAAGACUAUGCCUGCUGAUAAGACUCCUGUCGGUGCAUUAAAUGCACUGCGCCCGCCGUCUUAUCCUGUCUUCACGAUUCUGCAGGCCCCGCCUGCAUGCCCGAGCGUGGGUUGCUGGGGUGCCCCUUCCCGGCUAGCGCACCUGCUAGUUGCCGGGAGGCAUUCCUUCAGCUUCCCGGGACCGGGGUUUCCGGUGGCUUCUUGUACUCGGCCCUUGGCUUCACCUUCACCAAGGGUCGUCUCCUCGAGGCAGGCUUCCAGGACUCAUCGCUUCCCGGGAGUCCUUCCUGAUGGGGCUUCGUCACUGGCGACCCACUCGUCCCGUAUCAGUGGGACCCCGUGGGCCACUGGUACGACAGUAGCCCCGAGGCGUGGGCCGUCAGCCUUGAUGCUUCCGGCAAGUGCUAUCCUCGGUCGUUUGCCGGGCUACGCCCUACCCGACGCGUGGGUCCCAAGGGGGAACUCCCCUGGCACCCGGCCUCGCGGGCCGCAUUUAUAGUUCCGCUCCUCCGAACGAAAUGGACGGGCGCAUGAUUUCGUGCCUUAUCCCCCUUAAUCAGCAGAGAGUUAAGGCCAUGUCGCGCACCCCCUUUCUUAAUCUCCGAUUCUUUAGGGCUCUUUACUGCCGAUCGUGGGGGUGUCCGUUGCGGCCUGCUAGCCCCGAUAAAUACCCAAGGCCGGCGGCGGGCACUCCCCAUUGCCUCUUGCUUCCGCCAUUGCCUCCUCCCAAGCUCUCCGCGCCCCAUCUUCAACCAAACAACCUCUCCACCUCCGCUGAUGUCUUCCAAGGGCCAGAACCGUCCCAAGGGGGGCACCAGCAAGGGGGAAAAGUGCGAGAAGGCCAGUAAGAAGGAGCUGUUCGACAGGGCCCGGAAGGAUGAGGAAAUGCGGGCUAAGUUCGCCUUCUUCCCCCCCCCCCCCCCGGAUACAACGACGAGGGGGUCGACAAGCUGGUCUUGGCGCUGGCCACCAAGCACAACGAGUACGGGCCGAAGCGGAUUCUCCCCGUCGGUGCGGAGCGCGAUGGGCAGUACUUCCGGAUCUUCGGGAGGUUCAAACUUGUCGGGUUCGUGCCGCCGCACUCCUACUUCCUUUCAGCCAUCAUGGAGACCUAUGGACUCAUCAUGGUAGAGCUUCACCCCACGUCGCUCUUCACACUGGCUGUCUUCCAACACCUCUGUGAAGCGUUCGUGGGGGUUAUGCCAUCGGUGGCGUUAUUCCGUCACUACUACUACCCGAGGGUGGAGAAGAAGGCUCCCCUGUCCUCGAGGGUAGUGUUCCAAUUCCGCGACAGGAUCAAGUCGGAGUUCAUCGAGCUGGGGAAGAAAACGAUCGAGCACGAGUGGCGUCGCGACUGGUGCUGGGCGCGCGCCGACGAGCUCCAGGAGUUCCACGAGGAGCCCCUCGAGCCUCCGAAGGGCUCUGACGAUUGGCCGCUCCGCGACCAGAAGGACGAGGAGCUGGCCCCAAUCUGCGCAAAGAUCAAGGCACUCCGUGAGGCUGGGCUCACUGACACGGUUGUGGCCCACCUCUUCAUCGGGAGGCAUGUGGCUCCCCUGCAGCGGCGCUCACAUUCGGCGUGGAUGUACACUGGGGCCGGCGACCGGACACGCCUGCAACGCACAGACCUCCUCCCGGAGGAAGAGCAGUUUUGGGUGAAGGGCAUCACCGGCGAGGACGAACCUUACCGGCUGCCCUCGCUUGGAGCGCACCCGCUCCACGUCGGGAUCCCGAACCCGGGAGCCCGGGAUCUCCCACUCUGCGACGAGUGAGGAUCGUGGAGGACCCCUCGGCGCAACCCCCCCCCCCCCCCCGCAGCCUAGGCCCCAGAGGGCAAGAAGCCGGCUGCCAACUCGGGGAGAAGGGGCCUAGGCCAGGCCUCCGCCAAGGCAGAAGGCUCGGACUCCGACGACUCCUCAUUGGGCGUCGGAGGAGACCUCAGCGACGACGACGACGACGACGACGGCGACGACGACGGCGACGCUCGCCCAGCAGCCGGCGGGGUCGCGCCGGAGGAGGACGACGAGGAAGACGACGUCCCCCUGGUGAGGCGGUCCGUGGCGCAGCGGGCGGGGAGGCGGGAGGCCAGCCCGCAGCCUCCGGAGCCUCACGGCGACGCGGGGGCUGGGGCCUCCAGCGGCGGCGAUGCGGCCGCAACAGCCCCCCCCCCCCCCCGACCACCCCAGCGGCUCCAACAGCUUCGCCCACACGAAGCGGCCCUCCGGCGAGGAGCAUCCUGGCAGACAGGGUGCUCAAGCUCAAACCGGCAGGGUAAGUUCAAAUUUCCCAAAACGCCAUUGAUUUCACAAAUUUUUGUGUGCCUGACUAACUUGUUUCCGCAUUUUCUAGUUCUUCGAAGAAGAGGGGGCAGACCAGCACAUCGCCGGCAGCCCCACCCAGCAUCGGGCGGCGGCGACGGAGACGCCGCUAACGCGGCUGUUGUGACGGCGGCAGCAGCAGCUGGGGACCCGAGGAUCCCCGAUUCGAGCUCGCAGGGCAUCGGCCCAGCGGCAGGCACGUGCGAGUUCCCAUCCUUCCUUUAUUCAUCUGCUCCGUCUCCCGUACUCGACGCAGGUGCUCUUCGUGCAGCUGCCGGGGAGGUUUCGGCUGUGCCCGCGCCCACAGAGGUGCGGGUAAUCGACAUCACCGGCUAGGUCGACGACGAUGCUCCGACGAAGGUUGCCUCCGUCGGAGCCCUUCAGCAAUCGGCCACGGCACCCGCCGGGGCCGUGACAGCUGCCGUAGGUGACGCCACACAGGGGACGCCAUCUGAGGCAGGUGAGACAGAGCAGCCUCUGCCAGCCGGAGCAGGCGGCAGUGCUCUGGAGAAGCCCCCGAGCCCCCAGCCCGCCCCUACGGACGGGCAGGGAACAACAUGGCUUGGCCAGGCCGAGGGCGCCGUCAAAUCCCGACGCGCCCUCAGGAUCACAGACGGUCGCGGCGGGGUCCUCCUCCGCCAGAGCCGCCUUUAGCCCAGGAGCAGGGGAACUCGCCGCGCGAACUUGGGGUCGGAUUACCUUCGUCCCCAGCGUGUUCCAACAGGGACACCAAGUGAUCGACAACAUCCAACAGCAGCAACGCAUAUUCGUCGAUUUCUUCAACGACGCACAGCAGCACCACACCCGCGUGGUGGCGGAGCUGGGUGCAACGCGACAGGAGGCGGAGGAGCAGCGUACCGAGCUGCAGCGGCUCCGGGAGGAGCUCCGGCAGGCGCGGCAAGUCGGGGCGACGCCUGCUGUGCAAGGGGUGCCGGAGGCGGAAGUCCUCCAGCAGCUGUGGGAUCUCCAGCAAGAGCACCAGCGGGAGCUCGAACUGGUGAAAGCCACACACGCCAAGAGCAAGGAGGAGCACCAGGCGGCUCUGGACUCGUUCUAGGGGCGUCUCCGGGAGAAGACGGACUUGCUGUCCGGCUACUCCUUGGAGAUGUAGCGCCUCCGCCACGAGUUCGGAGAGCUGGAGACGGCGGCUGCAACGGCAACCGAAGCCUCAACGCGCCGGGAGAAGGAGCAGCAGGACCAGACCCGUUCCCGAGAGCGCGAGCUUGCGGGGAAGCUCAAGGCCGCCCAAGAUGCCAGUUCGUCCCUUCAAGGCGAGCUCGACACGGUGUGGCAGGAACUCCGGCUGAUCGACGACGACAACACCAAGAAGGCGUCCGAGAUCGGCAGGUUGAAGUCCGAGUGCCGCGAGCACAAGCUGCAGGCCCAGGAGGCUCGCGGUGCAUGCACCGAGCUGCGGGCCCGCAGGACAGGGAAGGUGGCCAGGCUGAAGAAACUGGCGGAUUCGGCGGUGGAGGCGCUACAGGGAUUUGACAUCCCUGUGGCUUCCUUCGAUGGGGCAAACAUGGGGAGCUUCACUUCUUUCUUCACAGACUUUGUCGGCCGACUGAGCGGCCUGCAGAGCUGUGUGCCGGCCUUCGGGGACCGGCAAGUCGGCCUUGCGGCCGAGCAGGUCGCCGGGCAAAUUCUCACCCGGGUCCACUCCGCCCACCCUGACUUCCCGUUCGAGUCGGUCUUCGACGCCUGGUCAGACGAGGAAGAGGCCAAGACCCACCGGGAGGCCGUACAGGGCGUCGUGGACGAGAUGGGGGCGCGGAUGCAGGGCAAGGUUGAUGAAGACGAAGCCGCUUCUGAGGAGGUUGCCGGAGAAUCCCCCGAUGCCGUGGAUGCACCCGGCACCGACGCAGCCGCCCAGGGAGCACCUCCCGCAUGAUUGCCUGUUGUUCUUUUUAUUUAUCUUCCUGCAAGUGGCACAUGGCGCCUUAGAACUUUUUAUGUUAGCUUUCCCUUAUCACCGCAAGUGUUAUUUGUCAACUUGUUUUGCUCAAGCUUCAAUAUAUCAAAUGCCACUUUUAUUUGCUUCUUUGCCUAAGACUAGCCUACCGGGGAGGGGCUCUGUCCUUCUCGUGUCCUAGCCUUGCAUACCCGGGGACUCGCCAACCACGUGCUUGGCCAGACUAGGGAUCCGGGACGGACUCACGGUGCCGACCUAGGACCAAACAGCAACGGCUAGUCACUCCGCCUGCCGGUUAACUACCCCAGCGUGCACACCUCCGGGACGGACCCGCGAGCCACGUGUGGGGGGCGUCCUCACCCCGCAAGCGUCCUUCCUACGCUCCGACAACACGGGGACCGAGCUUACCUCAGCAAGCCAGCGUUACUAAAGGGAAAAAACCAAGGACCCAAAAUGAGAUACUUAGCUUCCCAUUCUCUUUGAUCUUUUAGCAUCUCGUUGAGAGCCGUGGCAAGGACGCGGUGGCAGUGCACCCUCCAGCAGCACCCUCGGAGCCGCGGAGGCAUGCACCACCACCACGUCUUUACGACGCCUCUCGCUUGUCUCAUCGCCAUUUCUGGUGUCGUUUCGUAAGAGAUGUGGCAGGACCGUGAUGGUGGGAACACCCUCAGCGACAAGCGCAGAGAGAUGCACCACCAUCGCCUCUCUGCGACAUCUCUUGCUUUCUUGCCCGUUGUUGGUGCUGCACUUGCCCCGGUUUCUUUAAAUAGCCGAAGCGAUGCCCUUGCCUCCACAGGCGCGGGACCACCAGUCGCCGCGUGGAGGCACUGGCCCUGUCUCAGUUUCCUGCAUCAAGCCUCGAAGUAAUUUCCAUAUAUAUACAACUUAUGCGCAACACGACAACACCCGUGACCACUCCACGAGCGUCACAGUGUGCCUUCACCUCAUCUUUACCCUGCAUGUCAGAUUCCUGUAGUGCCCAAGGUGCAUAACAAAAAUUUCGAAAUGCAUGAAAAACAGUAUAAAUUGGAUAACCUCCUGCCUCCCAGCCCCGGGCACAGAAGAGUCGACCUCAAACUUUGGUGUGAGUAUCUUUCUUUUCCCGUGGUGCCUUGCUGGCACGUAGCACGUUGCGGACGGGUCCGGCAACUGUAGGCCUCGUUCCGGGGCAUCCCGGCAACGAGCUUGGUUUUUGGGGUUCCGGCAGCCCCCUGCUCACAGCCAAGGAUGAGGAGACGAUUCUGUGCACCUAGAGCAGGAGGCAGAAGCAUUCAUAAAUAGCAAAGCACAAUAUUCAUUGAAGCAACACUUAUCUUUAUUCAACUUUGUGCUAGCGGAUUACAAUCGGGCCUUGCCCGGCCACACUAGCUUAAAGAGGCACGCUGCCGCAGCGUCACCCGUGAGUAAGGUGCCACCGUUUCACGAGUAGAACUUGCGCAGGUCCUCAAUGUUCCAACUAUUGGGCACCGGCAAGCCUUCUUCGGUUUCCAGCCGGAGAGCCCCCGGUCUGGUCACCUGCACUACCCGGAAAGGGCCUUCCCAGAUUGGAGUCAACUUGUUCCCGGCCUUCGUUCCUUGUAUCCAGCGCAGGACGAGGUCUCCAACCUCGAGCCCCCGGGGACGGACUCUCAUAUCGUGAUAACGACGGAGUCCCUGCUGGUAGCCUGCAGCUCGCACCGCAGUCCGGCAUCGAAUCUCCUCGAUGAAGGUAAGGACAUCAAUCCUCUGCGCGUGUUGGCUCUUGUCGUCGUACGCGCGUACCCGAGGUGACCCAUACUUGAGCUCGAGGGGCAGCAUUGCUUCUGCCCCGUAGACGAGGGUAAACGGAGUUUGACCCGUCGCCCGACUUGGUGUGGUCCACAACGACCACAGCACGGGCUAGAGUUCUUCAACCCAGUGUUUCCCGUGGCCCUUGAGCUUGUCAAAAGUUCUCGUUUUGAGCCCCCGUAGCACUUCUGCGUUGGCUCGCUCAACUUGCCCAUUGCUCCUUGGAUGAGCAACAGAGGCAAAGUGAAUCUUAGUGCGCACAUCCUCGCAGUAAGCUUGGAACACCGGACUAGUGAAUUGCGUGCCGUUGUCGGUGAUUAUGCCGUUAGGAACACCAAACAGUCACACAAUGCCCUUGAAAAACUUGAUGGCCGUGAGGACGGGAUGACUUGCAAGGCUUGCGCUGGUUGGUUGCUCUUCUUGGCAUGGAACUGGCACGCUUCACGGGUCUUGACUAAUUGCUCGGCAUCGGCUAGUGCUGUCGGCCAGUAGAAGACGUGCCGGAACACUUACCCAGCUAGUGACCUGGAGGCCACAUGGUGCGAGCAUGUGCCUCGAUGUAUAUCCUCCAACAACGUGCGCUCUUCCUCCUGGGACACGCAGAUAAGCAUGACUCCAUUAGGACGCCUCCGGUAGAGUUCUCCGUCCACCAGGGUGUACAUCUUGGCUUGCCGGGCUACUCGCUCCGCGGCAAUUUCUUCCUCCAGGAGGGUCCCAUCCUUGAGAUAGCGAACAAUGUCCGUCCCCUAGGGUGGUGGCUCCCGGCUAGUGUAAACCACCAACUUGGCGGCAUGGUCCUCCGCAGCUGCAGGGUCGCCUUGAGUUACCGGACGGGCUUCCCCGGCAACUGUCUUGGGGUCGACAGAGGGCUUUGACUGCCUCUGCACGAACACCCCAGGAGGCACCUUGCUGCGUUCCGCUGCCCACUUGGACAAUUCAUCCGCAACAAAAUUGUCCUUGCGCUUUACGUGCUCAAAUCAAAGUUCUUUGAACUUGGACUCCAAUUUUCGCACUUCCUUCAUGUAAGCUGCCAUCUGAGGGCAGUCGUAGUCCUUGUUUACCUGGUUGAUCACGAGUUGGGAGUUCCCACGAACAACCAAGCGCUUGAUGUCGAGGGCGAUUGCUGCGCGCAGCCCGGCAAGUAGUCCCUCGUACUCUGCUGUGUUGUUGGUGGAGUUGGCAAAGUCGAGCUGUAUUACGAACUUGAGCUGGUCUCCAGUGGGCGACUCGAUCACCACUCCGGCACCGGCGCCCUGGAAGCAGAAGGCGCUGUCGAAGUACAUGACCCAGUACCCUUCGUCCAAUCUGUCGGGAAGGCUCGCUUCCGGCUCUUCUUCCUCUAUGCUUGUCGAUGUCCACUCCACAACGAAGUCAGUGAGAGCGGUGCUCUUAUGCUCUUGGUGUUUGCGAAACGCAGCCCGAACUCCGCUAACUCCAUCCUACACUCGGCCACCCUUCCGAAGGCUUCACGAUUAGUGAGGGCCCUCUCCAGGCAGAACCCUGACACCACCGUGAUGCUGUGCGCCUGAAAGUAAUGGCGCAGCUUUCUCGAAGCGAGCAGGAUCCCGAGAAAAAGCUUAUGGACCUGCGGGUACCGUACCCGGGCAUCACGCAGCACCGUGCUGACGAAGUACACGGGAUGUUGCACUAGCCGCUUGCGAGGGGGCAGCCUGCAUGGGCCGUCCCUCGGAUUCAGGGGCGCAGGAGGUAGCCGGGGGUUCCGGCCGGGGGUUCCUUCAGCUCGCCGGGAGCCCCCGGCCCUUCCUUCUCAGCCCCCGGGACUUGCUCUUCCCUCUCGGCAACGAGCACGGAGCUCACUACCUGGUCCGUCGCUGCUAGGUACAGCAGCAACGGCUCGCUCGGCUUGGGGGCGACGAGGACCGGCGGCGACUUCAAGUACCUCUUCAAGUCCUGGAACGCCGCUUCCGCCUCGGGGGUCCAAUGGAUUGGACCCUUCUUCUUCAUCACCUUGAAGAAAGGCAGGGCUCGCUUGCCCAGCCUUGAUAUGAAACGCCCAAGCGCCGCAACGGGUGCGUUGCGGCGCUGGACGUCCCUGACCUUGCGGGGUACCUCCAUCUUCUUGAUCGCGUCGAUCUUCUGUGGGUUGGCUUCAAUUCCCCUGUGAGAGACCAAGAAGCCCAGCAAGUGCCCCGAGUCCACACCGAACGUGCACUUCUCGGGGCUAAGCUUGAGCUUGAUCCUGCGGAGGUUGUUGAACGUCUCCUGCAGGUCGCCGACGAACGAGUCCCUAUGCCACGACUUGACGACGAUAUCGUCCAUGUAGGCCUCGAUGUUUCGGCCUACCUGGGGUCCCAGACAUUCGCGCAAGGCACGCUGCAAUGUCGAGCCCGCGUUCUUCAGCCCGAAACACAAGCACGUGUAACAGUAGCAGCUAACCAGGGUUAUAAACGUUGUUUUCUCCUCAUCUUCGACUACCAUCUUAAUCUGAUGGUAGCCGGAGAAGACAUCUAACAAGCACAAAGACUCACAACCUGCUGUAAAAUCUACUAUUUGAUCGAUUCGGGGUACAGGGAAGGGGUCCUUAGGGCAUGCACGAUUAAGAUCAGUAAAAUCUACACACAUGCGCAAUUUAUUUCCAGACUUUGGGACUACAACAGGGUUCGCUAACCAAGUAGGGUACAACACUUCCCUAAUUGCCCCGGCGUUCUUGAGCUUCUCCACUUCCUACUGGAUGAAGUCUUUGCGUUCUUGUGCUUGCCUGCGAACUUUCUGCUUGACGGGCCGCGCGUCCGGCCGCACCGCCAGCCAAUGCUCGAUCACCUCCCUAGGGACUUCGGGAAGAUCUGACGGCUCCAAAGCGAACACGUCAGAUUUCUCCCGGAGGAAGGCGACGAGGGCGCUUUCCUAUUUGUCGCCGAGGCUCGCACCGAUAGAGACGGUGCGUGCCUCGUUGCUUGCAUGUAGGGGCACCUUCUUUACCUUGGUGCCCUCCUCCUUCAGCUUCGUGCCCUUGCUUACGCGUGGGCCGGAGCUGGAGCUGCGCCCGGCAUCCUGUCCGGGAGCGGCUCGCGCCUUUUUCUAUGCGGGUUGUUCACCUGCAAGUGGAUCCUCGCUCCCGGCAACAUCGUAGUCACCGGGAUCCGCCACUGCUGAGGUCUUCACGACCUCGCCCACACACCAAGCAGCGUCCUUCAGGUCGCACUUGCUGGAGAGAACGCCGUAUGUUGACGGCAUCAUCAUCACGUCGUAGGCGCAAUGGAUUGCCGCCAUGAACUUGAUCAGCGCUGGCCGACCAAUGAUCCCGUUGUAUGGCAACGGGGUGUGAGCCACAUCAAAAAUGAUGUGCUCAGUCCAAAACGCUUCCCAGGAACCGAAGGUCACCGGGAGCGUGAUUCGCCCCAUGGGCUGCACCACUCCGGGGUUGAUCUCCUGGAACGGGUCGGUGGGCUUCAUCUGCUCCAGGGGCAGCUGAAGUUUUUUCACCAGCUUGGCGGACAGCAGGUUGAGGCCUGCCCCGCUGUCCACCAGUACCUUGGUCACCGUCACAUUGUUUAUGAUCGGCGACACCACGAGGGGGAGUACCCCUGACCCCAAGGGACGGAUCGGGUGAUCGUCCGAGUUCAAGGUGAUCGGCACGUGCGACCACCUCAACGACUGCUGCGCCUCCACGCUGGGGAGGAGGGCACAGACCUCAUGCGUAAGCCGCUUCACGCCUCAUCCUCGCGUUGUUCGGCGCGAGGCUUGUCGCGUCCCCGGGUAGGCUGGUCCUCGCCGCCGCGGGCUUGACCGCGACCCCCAGCUGGUUCUCCUUUGUCACCGCCGGCCGCACCUCGGCCUGCGCCGGCGCGGGGGUUGUUCGGCAGUCCCGGGAGAGGUGCCCGAUGUCCCCGCAGUUGAAGCAAGCCCCAGCAGUGCGGCGCUCCUCGUGGCGCUGCUCGCGCAUCUCCUUGAUGGUCUGGAGAGUGCGACAGUCCUGCGCGUCGUGGGUGGCGUUGGUGUCGAUGGGGCAGCGCGCGUCCGCUGCCGGCUUGCUACCCGAUGCCCCCGCCGAUGCCACCUUCUUGAUGUGCCCCUGGGGAACCCCCGGCUCUGCGGCAAGCACUUGCUUGCCGCCGCGUUUCCGGGAGCCCUUCUUCCCGGAGCCCUCCGGUGGGUUUGCCACCGCUUUGGCGGCAAGCUUGGGCGCCAGGCGCCCUUCCUCGGCCAUCGCGCACUUGUGCGCGAGAGCAUAGAGGUCCCUUGUUGUCCGGAUCCAGUGCGUGUUCAACUUCUCACGCAUCUUCGGGUCGCGGAUGUUGAUGGCGUACGUGUUGAUGAUGGCGGCCGCCUCCGCCUCAGGGAUGGAGUAGUAGAGGUUGGAGAACCUGUUGGUGAAGUCCCGCAACGUCUCCCCCGGCUUCUGCACUACCGUGUGCAGUUCCGCCAUGGUUCCAGGUCAGCCCAGGAAGCUAUGGAUCCGGAGGGCAGGUUGAGCAACCAAGUCCUCGCUGAUCUUUUGAGGACCAUCGGGAACCAGUUGGCCCUGACCUUGUCGUCGGCACCAAUGGCGUGCAUGCCCAACGUGUAGGUCAGGAGGAAAUCCUUGGGAUUCACUAUCCCGUCGUACGUCCCGAGCAUGCUCGGAACUUGCGGGGCCACGUCACCCGGCGCAGCUCGCGAGUAAACGCGGCGCAGCCGUCCUCGGUGCCCAUGGGAGCAUCUUCCUGCUCCUCUGGGCGCUGGCAUUCUGCCUCACGUCGGCGCCGGUGCUCCAAGCACUGGCGGAGGUCUUCCUGCUGGCGAGCGUUCAGGACGCCCCGCGCGUCACCCCGCAUAACGGUCGGUGACGAGUCCGAGGACCCCACGGGAUCCUCGCCUCCGUGCCCUCAUGGCAGGGGAGGGUUUUCUCCGUGCCUUGAGACGCGGGGCGCGUCUUCGCGUCCCGGGUUCUAUCCUCGGCCUGAAGCGGCCGGGCCGCCCUCGCCUUGCGGCUGCUGGGCAGCGAGCAUAGGGAGUGCGUCCAGCUCCGCACUCCACGCUUCAUGCGCCGGUGUGCCUUGCGGUGGCUCGUAACGCACCAUGACACGCGCAGCUAUGAUGGCUUUCGCCGGGGUCUGGGCGGGAGGCUGCCGAUUCUCUGACCGGCUGCCAUCCGCCCUGUCACCCGGUGCCCUCGGAUGUGUGGGGCGAGACUCCGUUGCACACGACGCGCUGUGGUCGUGGCGCGGUUGUCGCUAUGCGUCUUCAGCCCGCGAGUGGACUCGCUGGCUGGCACGGGCGACGUUGCGGUUGCUUGCGCGGCUGGCUCCGGCGCUAGGCGCUGCAGGACCCUUCAGCCGGUUGUCCGUCGACGGCCGAGGAGGCGGAGGUGGCAGCUGCGACAGCUGCUGCCGUGGAGGGGACCCAUGGUCCCCUUGUGAUUGCGACGCGCGCAUGGCGUCAUGGGAUCGAGUGCGCAUGUCGAGGGUGUCGCGCAAGUCAACCCAAGGCUCGUCUGCCCUCUUGGGCGGCAUCGCGAGCUAGUCGUUGAAGAUGUCUAGACGAUGAAGCCGGUGUUGAAGACGAUGACGCCGGCGGUCACUUGAAGUUUUCUGCACGCCCACCUAGCUUCCCGGGACCGGGGUUCCAGGGGGCUUCUUGUACUCAGCCCUUAGCUUCACCUUCACCAAGGGGUCUCCUCGAGGCAGGCUUCCCGGACUCAUCGCUUCCCGAGAGGACUUCCUGACGGGACUUCGUCACUGGCGACCCACGCGUCCCGUAUCAGUGGGACCCCGUGGGCCACUGGUACGACACCCGUCUUGCAUUCAAUGGUCUCCCUGUAGAUGCGUUGCAUGAUGUCAUAAGUGAGCUUCAGAAACUUGGUCCCUCCAAGUGUAGCUCUUCCUUCCAUAUAAAGUGGCUUCAACACCUUUUUGACGGAGGCAUCCUUUUCAUGAGGGCGAAAGCCUGAAGGGAUGGAUUGUCCAGCAUUCUCAUAACCAACGAGGGAGGCAAACUCAGCCCACGUGGCAGUGCAAAAGUGACUCCUUGACAUCCAUGAAACUAUGCGAAUAUUCUGCUCAACUAACUCUUCUUGGUGAACCAUGGCGUAAAACUGGGCCACAAGAUACUCAUUGUAGGGUUGCUUCACCAAGAGCUCAAGGCAACCGCUUCUGUCUAGGCUUCCCAAAUACCCAAGAGAAAUGAAAUCCACAAACAAAAUAAGGGGAAUCAACUUUUUGACUUGGUGAAACCCUAGAUCAAGAUCUUCUCCUCCAAUCCUCAAAGAAUCAAGAGUUGGAAUGAGUUGGAAGUUGGCUAGGGAGGGAGAUCUUGGAGAUUGAAGCUUUUCUGUUCUUGGGAGAGAAAUGGUGUUCUUAGCUGUUUGCUUGGGACUAAGACUCGUUCGGGACGAAGUUUAUAUAAAUGGGGUCCCCAAAAAAUCGAGCCGUUAGGCACAGACGCGGGACGGGCCGGAACUUCCGGGGUUCCGCCGGAAGUUCAAAAUAAUCACUGGAAGGUCCGCAUAUUCCGGAUGCCCUAACCGAGAGCACCCGGAAGUUUGGGCGAAAGUUCACUCGGAACUUUCGGCACCUGGAACCUGGAAUGCCAGAACUAGGAUUUUGAAAUUGGGUUCUUCUCUCACCUAUUUGGGUAGGCCUUUUAGUGGGUGCAAUUUUGUGUAGAUGUGUAGGUGAAAUUGAUUCACCCGUUACCUUCCCUUGUGGAUUCCCUCUUAAUAGUACGGAUGUCCUACGACUCAAAACAACCGAAAAAGCCGUUAAACACCAUUACACUUCUUUCCUUUUAGAGGGUCCACGAAUCGUCUUGUGCCAAGUACUUUAUGGAAUCUGAAAUGCUUAGCAUACUAUUAGAUAAGAUAACACGUUGUCAUCACCACCAAAACCACUUAGGAGAGAAAUGCCCUUUCAACAAUGCUCUACUCAAGAUGCAUCCGACGAUGAUGAUGAUGAAGACGAGACCUCCGACUGAUUUGUUUUGCUUUUCUCUUGGGAUGAUUCUUCCCUUUUUGGUGUGUUGAUGCCAAAGGGGGAGAGUGUAGUUGUGAGGGAGAGUUUAGGAGCCUCAGGAUUUGCAUGGGUUCUUACUCACAAGCUCGUUGUUAAUUUGUUGUUCUUAUAAUGCUUGUGAAGUUAUCUAGUUUUUUCUAUUGUGAGCUACUUUUAUUCGUGGUUUGUAAGAAUUGAUAACUAUUUGUGGUUGUGAUGUAAUAGCUAGCUCUAUGUGUGUUGGAUUAUUUGCUCUAGCUAUGGUUUAAUACUUUUUUGUUAUAUAUCUUGUCUUACUAAUCGUGUGCGGAGAUAUUCAUAUUUUUGCCCUUGUAGCAUAUGUUCCUACACUCGAUCUCAUUGCAAAAGGUAAUUUCAACUUUUGGGAUUUAUCUAACCAUAUAUAUGCUUCAUGGAAGCAUUGCAUUGUAUUGCUGUGGAUAAAUCCUUAUAGGUUCAUUCAUAUGUGUUAUGCCUUGAGAGGUAUUGCUCUAAACUUUGAAUGAAUGAAUCUACAUAUCCUUUAGAAAGCAAAUUGUUAAAUCUCUAAUUGUCGUCGCACGGUGCUCCGACACCGGGGGUGUGCGGUCACGGGCCCCUUUUAGGUUCAGUAGGGGCGUUGGGGCAGAGCCCCGGCGAUCGCCGGCACGGCCGAUGAGGCCCGGCGGGGCCGGCGAAGUGAGGUACUAGAAAGUGCGCGCUAAUCCAAGAACAUACACACGCACGUUUUUUACUCAGGUUCGGGCCACCCGGAGGUGUAAAACCCUACGUCCUGCUUGUCUAGGCUGGUAUUGAUUGUGGAUCAAGCGUUUACAAGUUGCCGGACAAGUCCCGGGCUUUCCUUACUACUCUUUGCUAGGGCUCCAAGCUAACUCAACUCGCGCGGAACCCAGACUCUAACUCUCUGAACCGAACUCAACUCACGCCGAACCCCCUAACCGUUGGCAUGGGUCCUUCUUUUAUAUUCAAGGGAAUGCCACAGGUGCCAUGGUGCAUGAGCUACAAGUGUCCAGCGGGGAGGUGUAACAUCCCAAAAUUUCAAACCUUUACAUGUGCAUUGCAUCCAUGAGCAUCAUGCCACAAUUGCAUGUUUGAAUUCAUAUUUUGAAUCACAAAAGACUUUAAGAGAUUUUGUUUACAUCCCUGUAACCUUUGGAUUUUCAAACCAAUAGGGUUGAUGUAUAAAAAGGGUUUAAUGCAUAUAUAAGCUAUCCCAUAAUUUUUGGUUAAUUAUUUGGAGUUGAAAAAAAAAAGUAUUUUUACUUAAAUAGUUAUAUGGCCCUAAAGCAUUUAUAGGGCAAAUGUAUUUUUACAUAUUUUAUUUUGAAGAGAAACUACUCCCAAAAGUUGUAUCAUGGUAGAACAUGAUUUUACAAAUUUUCUGGAAUUUAUUUGGACCAAUUUGGAGUUCAAACUCAAAAGAUAUCAAAGAAAUGGGAAAAAAAACAGAAAAAGAAAAGGUCUACAAGAAAAAAAAAAGAGGGUAAACGGACCGGCCCGACCGAAUUGGGCCGAACCGGCCCAACUCUUCAUGCGCACCCGCAGCCCAGCCAGCCCAGCGCCCGCACCCGCUGACAGGUGGGGCCCACCUGUCAGGCCUUCGUCUUCCCGAAGGAAACCCCGCGCGAUCUCCGCCGCCGACCCGCGCCGCGCCGUCGCCGCCGUGACACCCGCGCCCGCCGAUUUCGGCCUUCCCAAAGUUGCCCGAGCACGUCCUCUUAAAGCCCCUGCCCUCCUCUCCUUUUCCCCCAACCCAGCUCGCCCGAUUCGCCCCCAGGCUGCCCAAAUUUUGCGCCGCCGCCGCGCCAUUGCUGCCGCCGUCCGCCACCUGCCGUCGUGUCCCCGUCGACCUAGGCGUGGACUCCGACGUCCCCGAGGAGCGCCGCCGCCACCAGCGUCUCUGCCUCAACUCGCCGCGCACGCCCAUCUCCUCCCCGACCCGAGACCUCGCCGGAAGAGCCAGCCGCCGCGCCCCGCGUCGCCGGAAUCCUCGCCGGAAACCUAGCCCGCCGCCGGUAAGCCUCGAGCACCCCCGUCCGUCCGAUCUUUGAUCAACGGCUCGGAUUAGAUCGGGUUAAUUCCCUUAAGUGAACCGGUACGCGCCUAUCAGAAGCUGCCACGUGUCACCCGAUUUUUAUAAAAUAAAAAUGUAAUUUUAAUCCCCCGGAAUUAUUAAAAGGCACUUUUGCAGAUAGGCCCCUGUAACUUCAAAUGAUCAUAACUUUAAAUCUGUUUGGCCAAAUUUAGUGAUCCACACCUUUUUGGAAUCCUUAGGAAAUUUAGAAUCUUUUGGCACUGUCCAAUUUCAAAUUUGAAUAAUUGAAUCACAUUCAAAUUACAGAUUAGUGUUUUAUGCCUUUUAAAUCAUAACUAAUUAUCUAGAAGUCCUUUUUGAAUGAAACAAGUGCCCAAAAUUUUGUUUUAUUGUCCUCUGUCCAAUGGGACAGAGGGACAAAUAUUUUGAACUAAUCUAUCUGGCUGAUGCCAAUAAAACCUCAUUUUAGAGUUUAAACCCUAGCCAUUGCAAUUUAUUUUAAAAACCCUAAUUGCAUGUGCUUAAUUAUCAACGCCUUGGACCAGUAGAUCACCCAAAUAAAACCAACCCACUCAUGUCACAUGUUUUGCAUCACAUCAUGGCAUACAUAUUCUUUUGUCAUGUUUGAAUUGUGUGUUUAUGUGUGUGUAUAUGUUUGUUGAUUGUAUAGUAUUCUCGGAGAGCGAACCUUGCGAUUGUGACGAGUGUUUGAACUCCAACUACUAUCAAGGCAAGUACACUUUGAUCAUCUACCCUAUUAUCUUAUUAUGCACUAGAUUUUAUUAGUUGCAUUGUCAGGAUUAUUAUUGUAUCUAUGCUAGCUAUGAUCUAUCCUACUAGUAUAGGAUACCUUUGCCAUGACUUCACCACCAAUUGCCAUCGUAGUAGUAAAAUGCUAUGCUAUGAUAAUAUACGAGGGUGGUAUUAUUACAAUGUGAUACUAUUGAAUUACAAAUAUAGUUUUCCUAGUGUAUGGCAAAACAAGUAAUUCAAUGAACCGUCCUGCGUGGGCUGCUUUGAGUUUUCGGAUGUCGUGACGUUAGGUCCAUUUCUAUGGGGCCCGCUGAGUCGUCUCUCCGUGUGAUUCGGGAGCGUCCAUGGUCGUCUCCCCGUGCGAUUCGGGGAGCGCCUGCGUCACAAUGUGGGAUGCCACCCGGGAUAACCAGAGACUGGACUAGUUUCCUGUUUAGUAGCUUCCAGUACAACCACAUGGUAUUAUGGGCUCUGCCAGGAUGGAUGUAAGAAAUAUGAACCUGGAUCCGAGGUGACAUCGGUAUGUAGCAGUGUAGGUUGGAACGCGUCCCUCAGGUGGUUUGGGGAAAUAUGUUCUGAAAAUUCCUGUAAUCGAUGCCGUUGCUACUCCAUCUGGAGGACAGCAAGGGAUUAACACGUCGAUUUCUUGUGGGUAAAGUGUACCACCUCUCGAGAGUGUCAAACUAAGUACUUAGCCGUGUCCCCGGUUACGGACGAUUAUGAGCAACUGGAUAUUGAAGCUGUAAGGAAAGUCUCACUCAUUCAAAUUUCCUAAUAAAAUGAAUGGUUUGAACUGGGUAGGAGCAUUGAUGUUUCUACUCAAUGUGCCUAGGUUAACAGGAGCAUGGGUGUUUCUACCCCGUGUCCAAUAGAAUUCAAAACUAUUUGUCUAAAAAUGAUAGGAUUUGAAUAAUGAUGCUUUUAUGCAAAAUAGCCAAACCCCACCUAGCCAAACUAUGCAUGUACUUGGUAGGUCCUUUAUAACUCUAGUGAGCUUGCCAAUACAUUCAAAUGUAUUGACCACGUAGUGGCUGCAAUUAACAAUGCAGGUGGAUCCAACGUUGAGUGAGGUUCGUCGUUUUGUCAUGGGUCAUGUGCUUACAUUCCAACAUGCUCUCACCUUGGAGUAGUGUGGCCCUUAUGUUCUACCCUUUUCCGCUGCAGUAUUUUGAAACAUUGUUUUAUGAUGUUGAAACAAUAUUUGUUUUAUGCUGGCCCCAGAGGUCAUGCGAGGUUGUAAGUACUAUUAAAUUCUAGAUGAUGCGAUGUAAUAAAGUACUUUGACCUUUGCUUCUGUAUAUUUCAUCAUGAAACUGUGUGUGCUAGUGAGUCGAUCCAGGGACUAGCACAGUAAGCACAGAGAUCGAACCCUUGGUGAAGGGGGGGGAUCGCUUCAGGAGGCAUACAACUCCCCCCGGUGAGCUGGUGACGUGCAUGGAUGCCACCUCCGCUGCUAGGGGUCUAAAACCCUAGAGUAGGAUUGGACAGCCACUGUUCCUUUGAUCGGAUGGGUAACGACCCGUCGGUCGGCUCGUUUACUGAGCUGUGCGCCUUACUCCUUGCCCUGGUGGGACCGUGCAUCCCACGCCCGCCACGCGGCCUCACGUGGCGCUGUUGAUCUGGCCACUGGGCCCCACGCCUGAGGCGGGGGCAGGUGCCCGGGAACCCCCUGUCCCGGGAAGCACCCGGGCCCAACGCACCCGGGAAGCAGCUUCCCAAGAGGUGCCCAAGCGAGAAUGUUUCCCGAAGCCCCGCUAGCCCCUUCCGGGUUGGUAGCUUGCUGGGCUGCUCAUAGACGCUGCCCGGGAUGAAAUCUUCCCGGGAACUCGGGAAUGGGGCCCAUGCGUCGCGCAGCGGUGGUACCCCGGGUGCCACUGGUGCGACACUAAUUCUUUGCGAUUGAGUUGUCGGUUUAUAAAAUCUAGGAGUGUGUUGAUCCUAGUGUAUGUGCACUUUGCAUUUCAAGCAAAUUCAUUUGGUGCAUACACCUAGGAGGAGCCCGUUUAUAUUUUAUAUUCCUUUGCAUCGAUUUUAAUUGUUUAUCUGUAUGCAAAUCUUUGCGUUGUAAUCGAUCACCAAAAAGGGGGAGAUUGAAAGGGCAUUUCUCUCCUAAGUGGUUUUGGUGGUGACGAAAACAUUUUGUCAUGUGUAAUCUAAUCGUGUGGUAAGCAUUAUAUAUUUUUUAAAGAAUUUGGCACAAGACGAUGAGUGGACCUCAAGAUGGAAAGAAGCGUAGCGGUGUUAGCGGCUUUUUCGGUUUGAUUUGAUUCAUAGGACAUCCGUACUAUUAACAGGGAAUCCACAAGGGAAGGUAUUUGGUGAAUCACUUUCACGUGCACAAACACAUAUAUUGCACCCACUAAAAAGCCUACCCAUUUUGAGAGAGAAGAAACCACGCUACAAAAAUUCAGUUCUGAGUUUCCAGGUUCCCAGGUGGCGGAAGUGGAACUUCCGGCCCAACUUCCGGGUGCUCUCUGUAAGCCCCUUCGGAAUAUGCGGAACUUCCGGUCAGACAGAAGUUCUGGCAAUUUCCUGGAAGUUCUGGCCUGAGACAGACCACUGCAUAACGGCUCGAUUUUGUGGACCCUAUUUAUAUACCCGUUCGUCCCCAACGAUCUCCCUGUCCGAGCUUCAAGCCAAGAACACCAUUUCCUCUCUCAAGAACACAAGAACUUCAUCUCCCUUGAUCUCUCUCCCUAGUUGAUUUCCAAGGUCAAUACAUUGAGAAUAGGAAGAGAAGAUUGAGAUCUAGGGUUUCACCAAGUCAAAAGGUUGAUUCCCCUUGUUUUCUUUGUGGAUUUCGUUUCUCUUGGGUCAUUGGGAACCCUAGACGGAAGCGGUCGCCCCGUGCUCAUCCUUAGAGUUGAAGAGCUCGAGGAUUAGAUUGGAAGCUUCCAAUUGAGUUGUGGAGUGGUGCCCCGGUCAACUUUGUAAGGGUCCCGACUUCACCCUCAAGAAAGCCAUUUGUGGAGCUCACCUGACCUUUGUGGUGUUGUGAGAGGAGAAUAGAGUGAGGCUUUGUGGCGCCUCUACCUUUGUGGUACAGCACUCCUCCAAACGGAGACAUACACCUACCCCAAAAGGUGAAACUCCGGUCAAAUCUUCGUCUCCCGUGUGGUAUCACUUUUCCCCCUUUACAUUCUUGCAAGUUAUAUUGUAUAUCUUGUUGUUUCGGUUAUUGCACUUCAUACUAGGGUUGCAUUCACUUUAGAGAAUUUCGCACGCCUUAGGAUUAAGUGUUUGUAUCUUUCAAGAAAAGAAAAAGUUAAAGUUUGUUAGUCGCCUAUUCGCCCCCCCCCCCCCUCUAGUCGACCAUACCGAUAUUUCACCGGCCAAUGGAGCUGAUUGCUUGCAUUGCCCUUGAGGUCCUCAACUGGAUAUGCUACCAGCUCUAUAACACGACGAAUGGGGGACGCUCGCUCGCCCAGAGGAUCGCUGUGCAAUCGGAGUGAGACAGUUGUACCCUUCGACUCUCUAGAGUCCCGGCAUCAAGACAGAAUAACUGCCACGGGCAAGACCGUACAGUUGCAACUUAAGCAUGGUGAAACAGAUCAAACAAUACUAGCGCAAAUCCUGCGCAAUGGCUGGGCAUUACGAUUCAUUUCUAUAAUUUGGAACAAUGUUUUAUUUUUUUAGGGAAUUGAAGACGAAAACUCCUUCGAGAAACACCUUGCAUCCAAAACCCCGCUUAUAAUAUGUACUUUUUACUGUGAAUAACACUCGCUUGUAUAUAAUUUGAAAUAAAAAGUUUCUUCCACACAACUAUAACAUCAGAUAUUCUACGUUACAAUCAGGAUCGACCAAAAUAAAUUAUGUAGUUUUAACUCAUUUUAAUCUUGUUUUAGUAACAUAACGAAUCCUCGUGGCUUGCCUCCAACAACAAAAAAAGGCCCUUGUGGAUUGGGACUUUGGAAGCCUUUUUCUGCACUUUGACAAAGAUGGUAUACAGAACAUUUUUGUUUCAUAGUCACACUUUGUCACAAGCGACUACAAAAUUUAUCACAUACCAUGCUUUCUUAGCAGCCUGUUGCACAUGUCAUUUAUAUUCUUUUUGCUGAAAUUCACCAAUGUUGUAGGGGCCAUUUUUACUCUUCACACUUUUUAUGGCUUGUACAGUUUUGCAGUUUUUUUUAGCAAAAUCAUGUAUCAACAAGGUAUAUCUAUAGUCAGUAGUGGAUACUGGAAAAUUAUUAGGCCUUAUAUAAGGAGUAAACCAUGUACGAUGCAACAUCAUUAUAAUACUUCAUACAUGUUGAUUUGUGUUCUGAAAGUAAAGUAAAGAUCAAAAAAUUAAAGUAUUGACAUAAGUUAUAUAGACUAUAUACUACAAAUAGUUUGUUUCGAGGCAAAUUUUAGGUAUGGCGGCUGUUGUACCUUGCCAUACUGGUGGACCCAUCGCUGUCUGCAAUGUAUAAUAUGUUGGUUUUGCUUGUUCUAUCACAUGAUGAGUAAGCGUCACCCCAUGAAAAUAAGAGUGGAGUAAGAAAGAGCGAAAUCACUCCCUUGCACUUAAGCGUUGCCACAAUUAGGUCGGCUUGGCGGGGACUACAUGCCCUUCACUUUCCCCUUGUAAUUUAUCUCUCGAUGUGCCCUCACCAAUCUCUCUCUAUUUCUCUUCCUUACAUAGCCAGCGACGCAUCAUACGUCCUUACACAUCAUGCCCAGCAAUGCCUCAAACGAGAAAUAGUAGGGUUUGUCACAUCACAGUUCUCAUGAGCGAUGGUGGCGCAACUGUAUCAUGUCUCAACGGCAUCCCAUCUGUUGUGUAUCCUCUCUUCUACACCGACAACGUCUUUCUCACUAAAGUAAAAAUACAAUGUUCCAACAUUAGCCUCUGUCACAAAAAAAACUUCAAAUAUCCCAAUUGGUCUUAAAUUAACUGGGUAACAAGAAUAGGGGCACGCAUGCGUUAUUUGUACUAGUAAGGUGCCCCUGCUUCGCGACGACACACAUAUCUUGAUGUCCAACUUAUAAGGAAACAAAGAUCAGGGAUAUCAAAAUACUGAAAAUAAGAUGUUCCUGCUUCGCAACAGAAUACAUAUCACCGCCGUACCCAAUUAAUAAAGUAAAUAAGAUCGACAAUACCAAAAUAAUGAAAAACUACGAUAAAUAUUACACGUAGUCGUCAUGCCCAAAGGGGUAAGAAGAAUAUAGAUUGAGAUAAAAAAAAAUGACCUUGUAAGGAUAUAAACUUGAUAUAUACGUAGGAUAUAUAGCAUGUGUUACAUAAAUAUAAACAAAAAAAAUUGCUUCUAGGAUUCAAUUAAUAUAUGAGCAGAAAUUACAAACAAUAUUUUUGAAACAUAGGAAAUCUCCUAUGUGAAACUGAAGUUUUGAAGCUACAGAGCAUGUAUUGACCAUGCUACUAAGUCACGAGUAAAUUUUCUGUAUAGAUGGAACCACCAUAACCCUCGAUGAAUGAAAACACCAGCAAGAUUAAGUAGAUAAAGAGCAAGUAGUAAAAUUCCAAACUAAUUAAAAGAUCAUCCUACUUGUGCUUCUGAGCACGCAGAUCAUCAGUGCACUGUCCCUACAACAUCAACAUUAAUUAUGGGGUUUCAAGAGUACUAAUCAUCAGCAGCAGCUUGUUUGAUUAAGCUAACAACUUCAUUGAAAUGAAUCUGAAAGAACAACUACCAAACGUUAAUGGAGAGAAUACAGUGAAACAGGCUUACCAGUCUGCAACAUUCAGGUAAAGAAAGAAUUUGAAAUAGAGUUUGCCCAGUGUAUCGAUGAAGUGGUGCAUGCCAGUGAAAUUAAAGUUUGCUCAGUCUUGACAAAGUAAAAUACUUUUGUGUUUACAAUGGCAGGACUUGAUAGAAAACUUGAAAGGUAAUAAAAACGGUGCUCAAUUCUGCUCAAUCUUGAACUUACAUUAAGGGAACAAUCAGUAUUGCGUCUAGUGUGUGUGCUACUACUUGACUGUUUUCCGGAAAUCAAAAGCACACUACUAACAACUGAUCACUGGUGAACAAACUCUAUACUACACAUAAAAGUGUUUGAUGAAUUCCUAUACAGAUUUGGGUAUGCCUGGUAAGUCAUGUUGUCUUGCAUCAGAGAGUUGUUGUUUUAGUGUUUGCUAACUGAGAUAUAUUAUUUUGCUACUGGGGGCUUCAGUAGCCAUACCAACACAACUACCAAAUGAAACACGGCUUAAGAUUUUGGAUAGGGAAAUCUAGAAAUGAUCGAUAUGUCAGCUUGAAGAUAAAAACAUGCCGCCAUCAGGCUACUGGUAGCCAGCAUAGCUACCUACAAAAGAUUGAAACAGAGCAAUCAGUGUAAAUCACCAUGUAAUAUUGAUUCACCUCAAGCAAACACAGGUGUUGCUAUGGCUACUGAAGCCAUCCGGCAUAUCCAUCGAUGUUGAGAAAAAUAAUAAAGAACCUUUCUGCGUUGAGAGUUCAAAAGGCAAAAAAAAAAAGAGAAAAUAUGGAGGGCAUUUAACUUCGCAAUCUUAACAAGUUGAUCAUGGCCAUAGAAAAAUGGUUCCUUGUGGAAUAUCUGCAGUCAGAGUCAGCCGUUCAUGCUACCAAAUUAACUCCAGCCCACAAAUUCCGCUCAGGAAGUUGGCGAAUUGCUGUAGGUCUCGAGGGUCUCCCUCAAACCAUGGUUCUGACUCCUCGUAGGGAAUACCAAUGGAGGCAAAAUCUGUAGAAAAUUUGUGUAAUUUACAUUGUAACUCAAUAAUAGCAAAAAAAAAUUGCAUCUGUAGGAAUCUUGGAUCUUUAUGGAUCCUUCUUACUCAAUAAGUAUUCUUUAGACUUAUGUAAACCUGCAGGUUUCAGGUAUGAACAACCAUUUUAGGCCCUGUUUGUUUGGUCUUCUGCUUUAACUUUUGGUGCUUCUAGCUCUCUAAAAAUCACUUCUUCCGUUUACACAGGAAGCUGAGAAGCACGUCCGAAGGUGCUUCUUUUUAGAGAGCUAGAAGCACCAAAAACUGAAGCAAAAGACCAAACAAACAGGGCCUUAAGCUACGAUUGUAACCAGUAAACAAGAAGAAGCACAACAGGUACAUUGUGUAGAGUUUUGUGUCUUCAUAGGAAGGUACAAGAUGAGUUUUCUAAAACUGCCUGCUUGACAAAUAAUUAGAUUUUCGACGGAAAUGAAACAACACAAACUCUAAUUUUGGGAGCACUUCUGAACCAACAGAAAUAUACCUGAUGCUUUACUGUAUAAACAAUUGACUAAUAGGACCUUCAGCCUUCAUUUGAAGUAAUGGUCACCAAUCUGACGGGAGAAAAGCUUUCAAAGAUAAUUCAGUUAUAUUCACCUCUCCGCCUUCUAUAAUCAAAACUGAAGCCAAUUUUAAUCAACCUCCUGUAGUAAAUAUCACAAUCACCUUGCAUCUAACUGAACCGAGCUUAAGCAAGAUAAUUUAAAAUUACUGAAGAAAAGGUGCAGUACUAUUUUACAGCCACAAAAUAUAUACAAAAGCUUGCAUACAAUCCCAUUGCUCUGUUCCCAAAUACGAAAUACCUUCGUCAAUUUCCUUUCCGAACAUACCAAUUUAUUCCAGUUGAAUAAGAGGCCGACAGAGCCUCGGGACGAUUCAGCGGAGCACCGGCCGGUGGGAGGCGGGCGACGGAGCAGCAGCCGGCAGGACGGCGGUCGGCGGAGACGAGGACGGGCGGCGCCGGCUCUAGGUCGAACGCCGACGGGGAUUCCACCUAGCCCGCACCCUGCCGCCGCAGAACUGAGGCGGGGAGGAGGGUGGCGCGAGGAAAGGAGGAGGUCGACGGUGCUGCCGAGGAGAGCUCGGGCAUCAACUUGCAGGGGCCACAGCGUCCGGUGGCGACCUCGCGCGGAGAGAGCCAGAUAUGGAGGGCAGAGGGGAGGCGGGGGCGGAGGAGAGCAGGGGCUGCGGGCAGGGGCGGACCCAGUUGGGGUUUGCCCCACCCACUAAUUUUAGAAGUCAUUUUUUGCCAAUAAAAACUAUCAGAAAAAAUGAGAAUAAAAUAGAACUACUAUGUAUUUGCCCCAUCCAAUAUUAAAAACACAGUGUUUGCCCUCACUCCAAAUUCAAAACCUGGGUCCGUCAUUGGCGGCGGGCACGAUGGGACUGACGGCGGCUUGAUGAUGGGAUCGGCCGAUCGGGGAUGGGGGAGGGAUCGUGUGUGGGGACUGGGGGUCAUAGAGACGGUAAGUUUUUUUUAGGGAAUCGGCACAGAGGGGGUCUGCGGGCGGGGUCGGAAGGACGACGUACCAAUGCAGGCGACGUACGGACAACUGAGGCUUAAGGAAUAUAGUAAAGAUAAAGAAAAGAAAGAGUAGAGAUAAAGAUAAAAAUAAAGAUAAAGAUAAAGAUUUUUUGCGCGCCUACGGGCUACGGCCCAUCCCAUUUGCAUCCAUAGCCCACAGAAAACCCAGUACGUCUGCAGCACCCGUUUCGAAUAUUCGUCCAUCUACAAGCGAGAUAUUGGCGUCCCUGGCGGCUUGGUGGGCCAAGCCCGUUUAUACAACCCUCGAAAGUAGUGGCUAGGGUUUAUAAGGCAGCGGGCAGCGCUCCUCCCCUCCUGCGCCGCCGCUUCCUCAUCUCAUCUCAUUCCUCUCAACCCUCUCGGAUCGGGAGGUGGAAGCGAGACCCCUAGGUGAGACCCGCCCGCCCUUCCCUCUCAUCCUCCUUCCUCGCUUUGUUUGCUUCCUGGAACUCGUCGAUCUAGAUGCGUGCUGGUUCUAUUUCUUCCUAUCGUGGGGAAUUGCUCGGUUGACUUGUUUAUGGUUUGUGUUGGAAUCUGUUCUUGUGUGUUCAGUUUUACGGUUUGUGUUGAUGCGGUUAGAACACUGGCCUGAUUCGCUUGAAGUGUUUCAGAUGCUCGUUCAUCGUUUUCGUUAGUUCAAGCUAUAUGAUUCCAUUUGGUGGACGGGAUGUACUCUCCCUUACACUGUUUACUCGUUUGCGACGUAGAUCUAUUGUUUCUCCGUUCGUAAUAAGCUGUUUAAGCGUAGACUUGUCUUCUCCAGUUCGGUUGUCUACUUUUUGGCCGUGAAAUUUCGCUCGUUAGUGCAUCUGGAAUGGAUAUGACUAAAUUCGUUUGAUAGACAUGUUCCUUUUUUUUUUUACUCUUUUGAGGUAGAUGUUAUAUUCCUCCAGAGGUAUCUGGUUCACUAGAAUGGUCAACGUGUAUGGUCCUGUUAGUGUCUGCUUGCUUGCCUUAGGCCCUGAUUGGAAGCCUGUUAUUUGGGCAAAACCGGUGUAAAUCCGUCCUCGCUGAAAACACCGAUUGGAUGGUCGUAUUGGGCAGGCAGUUUUCUGUCGUUUCGGCCGAUCCAACCGUAAAACAAAACACCCCACCUGACCUCCGUUUUUCUUAACGAGAGUUUAUUUCGUAUCCACAUAUUUGCGCGUGUAACUAAAUUCGGGUGGAAGAUUUUGCCAAGCUUCCACAUAUUCAUUUUAUGGAAUACUUGACGUAUAUUUGUGAAUUUAUAGACGAUUUUUGUUUAGUCCUUCUGAUCGCCUUCUUUUUUUAGACAUAGAAGUGAUUGCUGCAGGACUGUUAAGGUUCUCGUUUCAGAAUAAGCUGUUUAAGCGUAGACUUGUCUUCUCCAGUUCGGUUGUCUACUUUUUGGCCGUGAAAUUUCGCUCGUUAGUGCAUCUGGAAUGGAUAUGACUAAAUUCGCUAGAUAGACAUGUUCCUUUUUUUACUCUUUUGAGGUAGAUGUUAUAUUCCUCCAGAGGUAUGUGGUUCACUAGAAUGGUCAACGUGUAGUGUCUGCUUGCUUGCCUUAAUGUUUCCUCCACAUAUUCAUUUUAUGGAAUACUUCAAGUAUAUUUGUGAAUUUAUAGACGAUUUUAGCUUGGUCCUUCUGAUCGCUUUCUUUUUUUUACACAUCGAAGUGAGUGCUGCAGGACUGUCCAGAUUCUCGUUUCAGAAUAAUCUCUUCCUGAGUUAUCCUCUUAGCUUCCAUAUCGUUAUAUAUAAUACGAAUUGACGUACCUUUGUUUUUCUACCAAAUGGAAUGCUGUUCUGCACACCGUCGCCUAAAUGCCUUAAAUUAACCUUGCCCGUUUCCAGGCUCAUGCUUCACCUACACACAAUUUUGCCAUUUAUUCAUGCAACUUUGCAAAAGGUUUUUUGUUGCAUGUGUGAUUAAUAUUUAACAUUUCGAACCUAGUUGUGCUACUUAGUUUGUUUGCUGUAGGUGAAUAAACUUGGAUGAAUAAAACACCUUACUUGGUCAACCAUACAUCCUUGCUUGGCCAGGUAGCGGGCUAAUUAUAUUAAGUUAGUUUCUAUUAACGUAAUCUUAUGUAGACUAUCGGGAAAACCUAAUUAAUUUUUCUUUCUCUUGUCUUUUAGUUUAUGAAGUGCCUUGAAUAUUGCUGUGGCUGCCCUCUUUGUCCAUCUGAGAUAACAAGUUUCCUGCGCAUGAUUUUAGUAGUUCUUACUUUGUACUGUUUAUAAUUUACACAUCAUAUUUCCUUUUUACUCAAUUUCAUGGUGGGGUAUUAUGAAAAUUAGUGUGUUAUUGGACAUGCUGGGUUUAAACUUCUAUGCUUAUAGUGAUAUUUUUCUGUUUAGUUCUUCACAGUUGUUUUUUGGUUGCAUUGUAACCUGGUUGCUUUUCUCCGUACAGGAACUUCUCUUUGUUGCCUGAUAUUCAGAAACAGUCAAGAUGGUGAAGUUUACAGCAGAAGAGCUUCGCCGGAUUAUGGACAAGAAGAACAACAUCCGCAACAUGUCUGUUAUUGCUCAUGUGGACCAUGGUACGUCCCAGAACAGUGAUCUCUUUGACCAUUGAUGUUGUUUAACUUGUACAUAAUAAUAAUGCUACACUGUUAAUUCUGAAAAUUGUUUCUUUUUCGUUAGUUUGGUUAAUUUGGUUUUUGCAACAUUGUCCAUGCACUAUUGUUUUGUAAUGAUUGGAUUCAUCUCUACAAAGAGCAAUCGUUCUGAUUGGGUGAUAUGGAUUUGAUUGCUACAUCUUAUAUUAUGUUUGAUGUUUGUUUUGAUAAAGUAAAUUGCAGUUUAUGCUUUUUUGUUCUAUUCAGAGGACCAAUAAUUCUAGUGGUCAAUAUCUAGCCUCUUUUUUCACUGAUGUUAUUUGUUGUGAUUAUAUUUUUAUAACUUCAUAUUAACAUGGUUGUACAUGUGAAAUUCUGAUAUUUUGUCCCAGUAGAUUCAAUGCUUUCCUCAAUUCUUUAUUUCGUUAUCUACAUGUAUCAGACUUAUGUUAUUUUCAACUUGUCAUUGUCCUCUACUUAGUCCUUAAGAUGCAGUACUAUUUGCUCCUAUCUGUUUGACAUGCUGAUAUUUUCAGUUAUUGAUGCCUAUAUACUAAUUCUGUUAUUGUUGCCUAUAAAAUUGAGUUUAAAUCUGUUACUUUGUAUUUUGUUCAAUGCUCAAGCCUUGCUGUUCUAACUUGUUAUGUAUUAUUUCCAGGCAAAUCUACGCUUACGGAUUCCCUUGUGGCAGCUGCUGGGAUUAUUGCCCAGGAAGUUGCUGGUGAUGUUCGCAUGACUGAUACCCGUGCAGAUGAAGCAGAGCGUGGUAUUACGAUCAAAUCCACUGGUAUCUCUCUUUUCUACGAGAUGACUGAUGAGUCACUCCAGAUGUACAAGGGUGAGAGGGAUGGGAAUGAAUACCUGAUCAACCUUAUUGAUUCACCUGGACACGUUGAUUUUUCUUCGGAGGUCACAGCCGCCCUUCGUAUCACUGAUGGUGCUUUGGUGGUGGUUGACUGUAUUGAGGGUGUCUGUGUGCAGACUGAAACUGUGCUCCGCCAAGCUCUUGGUGAGAGGAUUAGACCUGUCCUUACUGUGAACAAGAUGGACAGGUGCUUCCUUGAGCUUCAAGUUGAAGGUGAGGAAGCCUAUCAGACUUUCUCCCGUGUCAUUGAAAAUGCCAAUGUCAUCAUGGCAACGUAUGAAGACAAGCUCCUUGGUGAUGUCCAAGUGUACCCAGAAAAGGGGACCGUGGCUUUCUCAGCUGGUUUGCAUGGCUGGGCUUUCACUCUCACAAAUUUUGCUAAGAUGUAUGCCUCCAAGUUUGGAGUUGAUGAAUCAAAGAUGAUGGAGAGGCUGUGGGGUGAGAACUUCUUUGACCCAACCACAAAGAAAUGGACCACCAAGAACACUGGCUCGGCUACUUGUAAGAGAGGUUUUGUUCAGUUCUGCUAUGAGCCAAUCAAGCAAAUCAUCAACACCUGCAUGAAUGAUCAGAAGGACAAGUUGUGGCCUAUGUUGAAGAAGCUUGGUGUGACCAUGAAGAAUGAUGAGAAGGACCUAAUGGGCAAGGCUCUCAUGAAGCGUGUCAUGCAAACUUGGCUGCCAGCCAGUCGUGCUCUGCUUGAGAUGAUGGUGUUUCAUCUUCCCUCCCCCUCAAAGGCACAGAGGUAUCGUGUGGAGAACUUGUAUGAGGGACCUCUUGAUGAUGUAUAUGCAACCGCUAUUAGAAACUGUGACCCCGAAGGUCCUCUUAUGCUGUAUGUUUCUAAGAUGAUUCCAGCAUCUGACAAGGGAAGAUUCUUUGCCUUUGGUCGUGUCUUCGCCGGGAGGGUUGCAACUGGCAUGAAGGUCCGUAUCAUGGGUCCCAACUAUGUUCCUGGUCAGAAGAAGGAUCUGUAUGUGAAGAGUGUCCAGCGUACUGUUAUCUGGAUGGGAAAGAAACAAGAGUCUGUUGAGGAUGUUCCAUGCGGUAACACUGUUGCUUUGGUUGGUCUUGACCAGUUCAUCACAAAGAAUGCGACCCUCACAAAUGAGAAGGAAACUGAUGCUUGCCCAAUCAGAGCAAUGAAGUUCUCUGUGUCUCCUGUUGUGCGUGUUGCUGUUCAGUGCAAGGUGGCCUCUGAUCUUCCUAAGCUUGUUGAAGGUUUGAAGCGUCUGGCCAAGUCUGAUCCUAUGGUUCUCUGUACCAUUGAAGAGUCUGGCGAGCAUAUCAUUGCUGGAGCUGGAGAGCUUCAUCUUGAAAUUUGCUUGAAGGAUCUGCAGGAUGACUUCAUGGGUGGUGCUGAAAUCAUUGUUUCCCCUCCUGUUGUCUCCUUCCGUGAGACUGUUCUUGAGAAGUCCAGCCGUACUGUUAUGAGCAAGUCCCCCAAUAAACAUAACCGUCUUUACAUGGAAGCUCGGCCGUUGGAAGAGGGACUAGCUGAGGCCAUUGAUGAUGGCCGCAUAGGCCCACGUGAUGAUCCUAAGGUGCGCUCCAAGAUCCUAUCCGAGGAGUUUGGUUGGGACAAGGAUCUUGCCAAGAAGAUUUGGUGCUUUGGACCUGAGACCACUGGCCCGAACAUGGUUGUUGAUAUGUGUAAGGGAGUACAGUAUCUUAAUGAAAUCAAGGACUCUGUUGUGGCUGGCUUCCAGUGGGCAUCAAAAGAAGGUGCAUUGGCUGAGGAGAACAUGCGAGGAAUUUGCUUUGAGGUCUGUGAUGUUGUGCUCCACACUGAUGCCAUUCACAGAGGCGGUGGGCAGGUUAUCCCUACGGCCAGGAGGGUCAUUUAUGCUUCUCAGCUCACUGCUAAGCCAAGGCUGCUGGAGCCUGUCUACCUGGUGGAGAUCCAGGCCCCGGAGAACGCACUUGGUGGUAUUUAUGGUGUUCUGAAUCAGAAGAGAGGGCAUGUGUUCGAGGAGAUGCAGAGGCCUGGUACCCCACUUUACAACAUCAAGGCUUAC